CCACUUGGCCAAUAUAUGCAGAACAACAAAUCAACGCAUUUCAAAUGGUGAAAGAUUUGGGGUUGGCGAUAGAAAUUAAAAUAGAUUACAAUAAGGAUAGUGAUUAUGUUGUAAGUGCUCAUGAGAUUGAAAAUGGAUUAAGGAACCUAAUGAAUAUUGAUAGUGAAGUGAGGCAGAAGAGGAAAGAAAUGCAAAAAAUAAGUAGAAGAGUCAUGAUAGAUGGUGGGUCCUCGCACUUUUCUUUAGGCCAUUUUAUUGAAGACAUGGUGGCUAACAUUCCAUGCAAGCAACAAAGACGUGAUACCUAAUGUAUGAAUUAGUUUAUACUAAUAUGAAAUAAAAAGGUGCAUUGUAGGCUCUAAUAAAUUAAUUUAUCAUCUCCUUUAUUUGAAUGCUCAAAUAUUUCUUUGAUGAUGUCAAGAAAUUUGACCUUUCAAACUAGGAAAUGUGUUCUUUCUUUAUUAUUUAGUGAAACAAGUUUACAAGGGCAUGAAUUUAGUUAUAUGUGGAUCUCAUUGAUCAAUGAAUACACAAUUGAGCAUUUUCCUGUAGGAAGCUGGACUAGUGAUAAAAUCAACUAUAUAACUAAAAAUCCACAAACCCUAUUGAAUUUGGUUUGAUGGGGAUGAAUAGAUAUAAGAAUUUUUAUAAGAAUUUGUUCAAUUGGAUCACUAUUAAUUUGAUGCUUGCCUUCAGAUUAGAGACAACUAUCCACUUGAGAAAUUUAAUUAAUUUCUGGGCAGUGUUUAUCUUCUUUUCUACAAGCAUGAUGCUCGAAGAGCAAAUUAAUGUUCUCAAACUAUUUGGUGUGUUGGUAUGGAUUUAAGAAACUAACGUCUCAUCAAUGCAUAUCAAGGCAUCUACGCAUGUGAGAGAUCAAUAGAUUCAAAAUGAUUCUAAUUGGAGCAUUUUUGAAUUAAGAGGUAUUACCUUGAGUCUUGUGAGAAAGAAAAUAAGUAGAUGAAGAAGGUAAUUGCUAUUAUGGAGAUGAGGAUUUAGAAUUAUAAGUUCUUUAGAUUUGAUUAUGGAGAGAGUUGGCAGAAUAUAAUUUUUUUUUAAUAAGAAAAUUACUAAGAGAUGUGAAAAAAGUCUUUAAAAAAAUGAUAAUAAUAAUUUAAACACGAAAAUGAUUAUGUAUAUAGUAUUGAAUUAUCAAUUUGUCCUUUCCUUUCUUUUAAUGAAAAAUAAAUACAUAUGAAAAUUGAUAAUUGAAGUUGUUAUUCAAUCAUCUAAAGAUUAGCUUAGAUGGAAUAUAUUGUAAUGAUCUACUCCUAAUCGUGUAAAUAUUGUUUACUUUGAGUCCAACCUGUCAUAUCCCAUAAGAUUAGGGUGGUCAAACAAAUUUUCACACUGGGGGAUCAAGGAUCAACUUUGAUACUAUUUGUAAUGGCUCACUCCCAAUAGUAUAGAUAUUAUCUUCCCAAUUGUAAAUAUUGUUCAUUCUAAACCCAAAAAUCUUUCAUAGCUUUAAAACGUGUGUAUAAAAUUAAAAAGAGCUUAUACAUAUAUGAUGUUAGGAUUUUUUUUCCUCAUUUGAUGAAAGAUACCACAUGUAUUCCCUCAAAAUACUGAUUCCAAUUAGAUGUGAAGAGGAACCAUUUAGUAUUAGAAAGAAAAGAAAUACAUAGAUGGUAAUAUGUAUUAUUUCUAUUCCUUAGUCUUGUUGCAAGGACACUCAUUGCUAUAUAAUAUAUAUAUAUAUUUUUAAAGAACUUUGAAAAUUAAUUUUUUUAUAUACAAAAUUAACUUAUAAUUAAAAUAAAAUCAUUUAUAAUACAAAUAUUGGAUUGAUAAAUAAUUAUAUAAGUAAUUAUCUUAAUUUAGCUCAAUUUUAAGUCUUAAAAUUUCACUUAAAUCUUACAUGGAUAAAUAGAAAUAAUAACUUCUAUACAAAAAAUAAAAAAUUUUAUAGAAAAAAUUGAAAGCUUAUCUUAUUUUCUUUCUAUAACUAAAAUUCGAGUGAACAAAAAAUUGUUAACUUCAAAUUUUUAAGCUAUUUUAAGAUAAAUCUCUAUUAUUUACCUAAGAACUCAUACUAUCUUUAAUUUUCAAAAAUAAAAAUAUAUCCAAAUGUGCACUUAAAUUUUGUAGAAAAUGAACCUUGAGCAAACUCUCCUAAUCACAUUAUUUUAUCAUUUACCCAAAGAUUUAUGCUUAUCAAAAAUCAAUCAACCACAUUGAGAAUUGAUAAUUUUAGGUAACUAGUAACAUGUGCAAUCAGAAGAAAGUCAAUGAAGAGUACAUAUAUUCACAUCUCUUCUUUUUUGAAUUCCUCAAAAGACAUCAUCCAUGAGCUCAUUAAUCACACCCAUAAAACAAUGAACAAGAAGAGACCAAGAAAAGAUCAUAUUGUAGGCACAUCGCCAAAAGGUUUGUUGAAAUAACUUAUACCUUCACCCUCUGAGCUCUAGAAUAGUGUCGAAAAGAACAACCUAAUCUUUCUUUCCUUUGUCUGAACUACUUUUUACCAAGAUCCCAAAGCCUUAGAUGCUAUUUAUAUUUGGACUUAGAGAAUACUUAAAAAUAAAUAGCCCAACUAUGGGCUUAGAGAACUUUUCAAGGGUUGGAUAAACAUAGCUCAACAAAAUUAGCUUAAAAUAACCUUUAAAAUUACCCAUUCAAGAUCUAUCAAAUCAAAAGAAAAAUAAAAUAAAACUUUUGGAAACCUUUUCUAUGCAAAAAUUUCAAAAAAAAAAUUUAUAUAAAAAAUUGAAAACUUAUCUUAUAUGCUUUCUAUAACUGAAAUUUUGAGUGAACAAAAAACUAUAAAAUUCAAAAUUUUCAUCUAUUUUUCAUAACAUUUAUUUUUAAGAUAAAUCUCUAUUAUUUAUAUAACAACUUAUACUAUCUUUUAUUUUCAAAAAUAAAAAAUUUAUUCAAAGUCCACUUAAAUUUUGUUGAUAAUGAACCUUGAGCAAACUCUCAUGGUCACAUUAUUUAAUCAUUUACCUAAAGAUUUAUGCUUAAAGAAAAUCAAUCAACCACAUUCAGAAUUGAUAAUUCUAAGUAGUUAGUAACACAUGGAGUCACAAUUCCAUACAACAAAUACAUAUAUAUAGAAAAAUUUGAAAUCUUAUCUUAUAUGCUCUUUAUAACUAAAAUUUCGAGUGAACCAAAAACUUUUAAAUUCAAAAUUUUAAGCUAUUUAAAAGUUGUUUAUGUUUAAGAUAAAUCUCUAUUAUUCAUAUAAGAACUCAUACUAUCUUUUUAUUUUCAAAAAUAAAAAAUGUUUUGAAAGUCCACUUAAAUUUUGUAGAAAAUGAACCUUGAACAAACUCUCUCAAUCAAAUAAUUUUAUCAUUUACCUAAAGAUUUAUACUUAUAAAAAACCAAUUAACCGCAUCGAGAAAUGAUAAUUCUGGAUAGCUAGUAACACAUGGAAUCACAAGAAAGAUGAUGAAGAUUAUGUAUAUUAAUUCUGGUCUCUUCUUUUCUGAAUUCCUCACAAAUCACAUCAAUUGGUCUUUGAUGUUGUCUAUGAGCUCACUUGUCACACCCACAAAACAAUAAAUAGGAAGAGAUCAAGAAGAUCAUACCACAAGGGCUUCCCUAAAAGAUUGAUGAAAGAACUUAUACCUUCACCCUUUGAGCUCCAAAACAAUGCCCAAAAACCAACCUAAUCUUUUUUUUUUUUUCCCUUUUUCUGAACUAUUUCAUCAAGAUCUAAAUGCCCUAGAUGUUAUUUAUAUUUGAACAUAGAGAAUACCUAAAAUAAUCAAUCCAACGCAUGGGCGGGAUAAACUUAGCUCAAUAAAUUUGGCUUAAUAUUAACCCUUAAAGUUACCCAUUCAUGGUCUAUUAAUGAAUAUAAAUAAAAAUUUUUGAAAACCUUUUCAAUACAAAAAAUAAAAGAUUUGAUAACAAAAAUUGAAAACUCACCUUAUAUGCUUUCUAUAACUGAAAUUUCGAGUGAACAAAAAACUAUUAACUUCAACUUUUUCAGCUAUUUUUAAAAUUAUUUAUUUUUAAUAUAAAUCUCUAUUAUUUAUAUAAACACUCGUACUAUCUUUUAUUUUCAAAAAUAAAAAAUAUACUCAAAGUCCAAUUAAAUUUUGUAGAAAAUGAAUCUUGAGCAAACUCUCUCGACCACGUUAUUUUAUUAUUUACCUAAACAAUGCUUAUCGAAAAUCAAUCAACCAUGUUGAGAAUUGAUAAUUUUGGGUAACUAGUAACACAUGGAAUCACAAGAAAGUUGAUGAAGUUGUUUUCCUCUCUAAAUUCCUAAAAGCUCACAUGCCACUCAUCCUUGAUGUUGUCAGCUCACUCAUCACACCCAUAAAACAAUAAACAAGAAGAGAUAAGGAAGAUCAUACCGCAACGACUUUCACAAAAGGUUGAUGAAAUAACUUAUACCUUCACCCUUUGAGCUCUAGAAUAGUGUCAAAAAAACAACCUAAUCUUUCUUUCCUUUUUCUAAACUACAUUUUACCAAGAUCCAAAAGCCCUAAAUUUUAUUUAUAUUUGGACAAAGAGAAUACCUAAAAUAAAUAGCCUAAUGCAUGGGCUUAGAAAUAAACUAAGCUCAACAAAUUUAGCAUAUAAUAUUAACCUUAAAAUUACCCAUUCAAGGUUUAUUAAAUCAAAAUCAAAAUAAUUUUUCAAAAACCUUUUCUAUACAAAAAAUGAAAAAUUUGAUAGAAAAUUUUCAAAGCCUAUGUUAUAUGCUUUCUAUAACUAAAGUUUCAUGUGAACAAAAAAUUGCUAACUUCAAAAUUUUAAGCUAUUUUAAAAAUUAUUUAAUUUUAAAAUAAAUCACUAUUAUUUCUAUAAGAACACAUAUUAUCUUUUAUUUUCAAAAAUGAAAAAUGUAAAGUCCACUUAAAUUUUGUAGAAAAUGAACCUUGAGCAAACUUUCCUGGUGACAUUAUUUUAUCAUUUACUUACAAAUUUAUGUUUACCAAAAAUCAAUCAACGAACUGAGAAUUGAUAAUUCUAGGUAGCUAGCAAAAUAUAGAAUCACAAGACAACUGAUGAAGAGUAUGUAUAUUCUGGUCUCUACCUCUCUGAAUUCCUCAAAGCACACAUAUCACUUAUCAAAGAUGUAAUCCAUGAACACGCUCGUCACACCCAUAAAACAAUCAAUAAGAAGAGAUCAUACUAUAAGGGUUUCCCCAAAAGAUUGGUGAAAGAACUUAUACCUUAACCCAUGUAGCUCUAAAGCAAUGCCUAGAAAACAACCUAAUUUUUCUUUCUUUUUUUUGCACCCAUUUUCACCAAGAUCCCAAAGGCCUAGGUGUUAUUUAUAUUUAGACUUACAGAAUUCCUAAAACAAAUUAAUAGGCAAAUGCAUGGGAGGAGAAAACUUUUCAUGGGCAGGAUAAACUUAGCUCAACAAAUUAAGCUUAAUAUUAAACCUUAAAAUUACCAUUCAACAUGUAUUACAUAAAAAUAAAAUAAAAUUUUUCGAAAACCAUUUGUAUACAAAAAAUAAGAAAAUUUAGAGAAAAGAUUGAAAACUUAUAUUAUAUGCUCUUUAUAACUAAAAUUUCAAGUGAACUAAAAAAUGUCAACUUCAAAUUUUUAAGCUAUUUUUAAAAUUAGUUAUUUUUAAGGCAAAUCUCUAUUAUUUAUAUAAGGACUAAUACUAUCUUUUAUUUUUAAAAAUAAAAUAUGUAUUUAGAGUUCAUUAAAAUUUUGUAGAAAAUGAAUCUUCAGGGAAACUCUCCUGGUCACAUUAUUUUAUCAUUUUCCUAAAGAUUUAAGCUUAUUGAAAAUCAAUUAACCACACUGAGAAUUAAUAAUUCUGGGUAGCUAGUAACACAUGGAAUCACAAGAAAGCUAAUGGAGACUAUGUAUAUUCUGGUAUCUUACUUUUUGAAUUCCUCAAAUCUCGCACACUAAUCAUCAAAGAUGGCGUCCAUGAGUUCACUCGUCAGGCCCCAUGAAACAAUGAACAAGAAGAGAUUAGGUAGAUCAUACCGUAGGGGCUUCCCCUAAAUGUUGAUGAAAGAACUCAUACCUUCACCCUUUGUGCUCUGGAACAAUGCCCAGAAAACAAUGUAAUUUUUCUUUUCUUUUCCUGAAACACUUUUAACAAAGAUCCAAAAGCCCUAGAUGCUAUUUAUAUUUGGACAUAGAGAAUAACUAAAAGAAAUAGUCCAAUGCAUAGGCUUAGAAAACUUAAAUAGUUAUCAAAGAGUUGUUAACACAUUAUCUAUAAUACAAAUGUCAACCACAACACUUAAAUAGUUACUCAAAAUAUAACAUGUCAAUAUUUGAGUAUUCAUGAAGAGUUUUUCAUACUAAUAAAUAUAAAAUUCAUGUCUUUAUUCAUUUUGAAAAUUGGGAUAUGGUGAUUCAAAUUGAGCAUUUGAAAAACCAAAGUUCUCCAAAUCAACCACUUCUAGAGUCAUGUCACCACCAUCCUCGUCAUCUACAAAAAUAUUAAAUAUAUAUUAACAAGAGAUCAUUUUUAAAGAAAAAAAUAGUAAUUGUUGAACUUUUAUAAGUUUACAUAUUCUACUAAUCAAUGAGAGCUUGCAGCUGAACUUGAACCUUCUACUUCAUUUAUUGGAAUUAAUCAUUCUUCAUAUAGAAGAUUUUCUAAUUCUUCCACAUCUAGCUCUCUUGGCUCAUCCUCAUCAACUAAACAAAAAUCAGUUUCAUCAAUACAUAAUCAAUGGGAUCAUAGGUCAUUUUCUUGUUGUACAACCUAAAAAAGAAAAACAUAUAAUUAUUCAUAAUUGUCAAUGAAAAAUUUUAAAUUCAAAACAACUAAGAAAGUAUUUACAUUGAAUUUGUAGCCACAAAUUGUAAUGAACGUAUACAAGAUCAUUAAGUCUUUCAUUUUUCAAUCUAUUCCUUUUUUUGGUAUAUGUGUAUAUGUUCAAACACACUCCAAGUCCUCUCACAUCCAAAAGAAGAUGAAGUUUGACUCAAUAUUUGAAUGACCAACUUUUGAAAAUAUGGUGCAUUAUAUCCAUGUAGCCUCUAUUAUUCAUCUAGUUACUAUUUUCACAUUAAAAUAAGGGAAAAAAAAAAACAACUUCAAUUCAUUCAUCGUUUCAUGCUUUCCUUUCAUAACUUUUUGAUUAAUAACAUCUAUGACAUCUCCAAUAACUUCUUGCUUAUUACAAUUUUUUUUUUUUUAUCAUAUUGGAAACAUGGAUUCAACCAAUAAGCUACUGAAUGAAUGCUUUUCUUUGGUUGUUCAUCCUAACGUUCCUUUAUGAUCUGUGUAUAAGGCUUGUAUAGUCUUUUAUUGUGUUUAAAUAAUUUCUUGAUACCCAAACGAGCAUUAUAAAUGCCUUUAUACACAUAUCCCAUCGAAGGCCUCUCAUCACAAUCAACAAUAUGUAAUAAGAGCACACGUGGAGCAAUGAGAUUCAUAACUAUCAAACAAUCAUUUCAAAAUCUAUUAUCCAAGAUGAUAGAAACUACAACUCUGCUUUUAUUAUCCAUUAAAUAUUUAGAGUCCACAAAAAACUUGCUAGUCACCAAAGCUUGCAAGUCAUGUUUAUGAUCAUGAAGACUCUUUACUGCAAUGAAUGCAGUAGCAAAGUGAGUUGCACUAGGUUGAAGAAUCUCUAUCCAUCCUUCUCUUUUUCUCAACCAACUUAACAAAGCAACAUGAUUACACACAAAAAUUGUCACCUUUGAUGCAUGUCUUACAAGUUCAGCAACAUAGUCCAUCUUACUAAUAUCCUUAAAGAUCAAAUUAAGACAAUAAGUUGUACAAGGUGACCAAUUGAUUUGUUUAUACUUCUAAGAAAUCAAUCUCCUUAAGACCACAUAAUUUGUUGCAUUAUCAGUCACUACAUGAACUACAUUGAGUGAACCAACCCAUUCAAUCCCUCAUCAAAUAGCAUAAACAAAGUAGUUGCAUCAUUCACAAUAUUCGAAGCAUCAACAGAUUUCACAAACGAUAUUCCUUGAGGACAGUAAACAAUGUUCAUUGUUUGUUAUCUGUCCAACAUCACCCAUUAUUAUACACCCAAUUUUUACCCAAAUUUUACAAUAAGAAUUCACAAGUAACUGAACUUCCUUCUUGGCAUCCUUUAAAUUAUUAAACCAUAGUUGAAGGUAAGUUGAACCCUUAUAUCCAAGACAAAUUACGAAUAUAGCAUCCAACAUUGGCGUGAAGUAGAAGGAAUUCACAACAUUAAUAAGAACGCAUGCAUCAUAAAAGAAUCUCUCAACAACCAUAUCUACUCUCCAAAUAGCUUAUUUCCUAGCUAAUACACUCCUAAUGGAAGGUUGAGCUCCUUAAGUAGUUCUUGGUGCAAAAUACUUAUCCAUUGUUGAUUUUUUUCUUUUUCCACUAUAGUUGCCAUAGGAUUUUACAUAUCUUGAACCUCUUCUCCACAUUUUGGCAUAUCCCCUUCAAAUUGUGACACCUUAAGACCAUAAUUCAUAUGUUUCUUGGAUUUCACAAACUCCUACAAAGAAUUUUCCAUUUGAAAUCUACAUUAGGAGGAAUUGAUUUACAUGGACCAAUAUAUUGUUUCACUCCAACAAGGUGUUGUUUCCGUUUUAUGAAUUCCCCUACCUUUUGCAACUUUUUUACAAUAUAAACAAACAAGAACUUUCCUUCCAUUUGUAUUUUUUUCUUUAGAAACAUGCUCCUAUGUAGGGUUGGUGUUGUCUCUACUUGUUUGUGAAUUUGUAUUUGAAUCUUGACCAGAGGAUGGGGUCAAGUUUGAUUCCAUUUUGAUUUUUCUAUAAAAUUGUAAACAAAAACAACAAUUUUAAUCACCAUUCAAUGCAUUCAUCAAUAAAAAAAUAUGACUUCAAUCAAGUCAUCCACAAUUUAAAAAAAAAUAAAAGAAUUAAAGAAUUUAUUAUAGAAAAUUCUUUCAAAAUCAGAAAUUUACUUUCAAAUAAAAAAUUUAUUUAAAAUAUAAAAAUAAUAUUUUUAUUUAAAAAUUAGAAAAUUUAAAUUUAUUUAAAAUUAUCUAAAAAACGCAACAUAAUGUUUGAUUCAUUGAUUAUUUCCAAAAAAAUUAUUUUAAUUUCUAAUGUUUUUAAUUAUUUUAAUAAUUUAUUUAAACUCAAAUAAGAUAUUUUAAAAAUCAAUAUAAAAUUUAAAAAAAUAAAAUGAAAAUAAAGUAAAGAAAUAAAUAAAUCUAAACAAAUGAUUCAAUUAUUCAAAUGAAAUUUCAAUGAAUAUUGAUAUUGUAAUUUAAUAAAUCAAUAUGCAAUAAAAUUAUAAAAUAUUAAAUAUUAAAUAAAUUAAAUAAAUUGCAAGAUUCCAAAGUUUAAACUCAUAAUGGGAGAUUUGGAAUCCAGUGCGGUCGUCGGCAUGUGGAGGCGAUGGCUUCUCCAAUGUGGUGCAACUAUUGGAGACGUGCGUGCUAGUAAGGAGGGAAGGUAAAAAAAUGGCUUAUAUACAGAGCAAAACGACGUUGUUUCGAUGCCAAAUGCAUCAAAACAACGCUAUUUUGAUGGCAAAAAAAUAAAAAAGGUAUGAACCAUUUAGUUUGGGGGAAACCAGCUGAUUCACCAAUAAGAUCGCUAAUUUCGACGGUUGGAGGCUAGUCCAACCCUUCGACGGUUUAAAUCACCAAAGCAAACCGAAAAAUUGACUGAUCGAAAGUCAAACCAAUUGGAUCGACCGGUCUGAUCCGAUUUCUAAAAUCAUGUUCAUACCUUUAAAAUUUGUUUAGAAAAUUAAGAGAAACUCAUACAUAUAUAGUGUUUGAAACAUUUUUUCCAAUUUGAUGUGGAAUAAAUAUCACAUAUAUUCCCUCAAAAUGUUGAUUCCAAGUAGAUGGGCAAAUGAACAAUUUAGUAUUAAAAAGAAAAAAAAAUACAUGGAUGGUAAUGUGUAUUAAUUCAUUUUUGACUCUUGUUAUAACACCCCACAUUUAUUGUUAGGGCAAAACUGUAAAUUAGAAUAAAAUAUAAAUAAAUAAAUUUAAUAAGGGUAUAAAGACCUUUUUUGCAUUAAAAGUCCUAGUUAUAAAUUAGAUUUUCUUUGUCUUUUUCAUUCAGAAAACCCUAUUAUACAUGGAUGGAAAUUCAAAAAUCAACAAAUCUCAACUUUUAAACCAACAUAUCAACAAUAGAAUUUUUUUGUCCAAGCAAUUUCAAACUUAAAACAAUAGCUAACAGUAAUCAAAUUCUAACAUUUAACAAAGUACCAAAAAGAGAGUUUAAACAAAUGUCUUAAUAAGGCCAAAUUUAUCAUCCUAACUGUCACUCCUCGCCUGAAUUGAGAGUACUUGAAAUAUUAUCAACAAAGGGGAAUGAGCUCAAAACCCAAUAAAGAACAUUAAUGUACAAUUUCAUGGAUCAAAUAGUUUCAAUCAUGCUUACAAAUAGGAGAUAUUAAGUUCAAAUAUUCUAAUACAUUUUCAUCUGUUCAACCAAACAUUUUCAUAUAUAUCAAAACCAUUUCACAUCAAAUCCAAAUCAAACACAUUUAAAAUAUUUUCACUCUUAUUAUCAUAUAACAAAUGGUGCAUAAUUGGGUGAGAUUUUACAAAUGAGUUACUAGUUUCAAAUUAGUUCUAUUUAAGGUGAACAAAACCAAAUGUCAACAAUUACAACCCAUUGCCUAGGGUCGUAUAAUAUCAAUUAUUAUAACCCAUUGACUAGGGUUGAAAAUGUCAACAAUUAUAACUCGUUGACUAGAGUUAUUAAAACUAGAGUCAAACACUUCAUUUCAUUAAUUCAAACUUACAAAACAAAAUCUCAUAUUUCUACAAUUUUUAUCUUUCAUAAACAAAGAAAAUGCUCAAACAUAUUUUUCAUACAAAACAUAUAUUUGAUCCAUGUAUAAAAAUAAAAAUAAAAAUUUUCAUAAAUCAAAAUAAAAUUUAAAAAAAAAUACUUUCUUUUACAAAAUCUAUAUUAAUUUCCCUUACCUCAUAGAAGCACUAAAAAACCUUGAAGUAUUUAAUCCUAAAGAGUUUUGCCCCAAAAAACCUAUUUCAAACUUAACAAAAAAAGACAUAACUAUUACUAUUAACUAUUUAUCUAAAUUUAAGGGCUUGAGAAUCCUAAUAAUUUUAUAUGUUAUGUCAUCUAUAUUAUUUUUAACUUCUUAAUCAAUAACAAUUUAAUACAUAAGUUUCUAAAUUCUUAUAGAAGUUUGAUUCUUUCCAAAAUUUAUUCCUAAGAUUCUAUUAAUUUAUUAUUAUUUUUUUAAAAUUAAAUUUCUCAAAAAUAUAUUUUUUCUAUUUAUUACAUUAAACUAUUAUUAUUAUUAUUACUAAUAUUUCAUUUAUUAGCUUAAAAUUAAAUAUUAUUAGUUUUAUUAAUUUUCAGAUUCAUUACAUAACCAACGCAUUACCCUCUAUAUUCAGUGCAUACACAAAACCCAAAAUAAAAACAAGUUUUCUUCCUACUGUCAUCAUUAUCAUUUAUUAUUAUAAUACUUUUUAUUUUCAACAUCUAACUUCCUUUCCGGUGCACACGCUUUUUCUUUCUCUUUUGUUUUUUUUCUUCUCAAGCCUACACUACACUGCCACUCCACGUCCCCUCAUGUCUUCUAUUUAUUUAUUUAUUAUUAUUAUUAUAAUCCAUUUGUUUUCCUUUUCAAAAACAAUCUCGUGGUCAAUGAUUCAUUUUUCUUUCUUAUAUUUUUUUUUUUCCUCAAUCUAAAGCCGACAUAACUGAACUAUUUUAUUUAUUUAGUUAUUUAUUUCGUUUAAACCUAUAAUUUAUUUUCUUCUAUUUGUAUUUAUUUAUUUUAUCUAUGCAGUUGAAUAUUCAAAAUUUUCUUAUCUUCAUUAAUAAAUUAAUCUAUAUUGAUAAAUUUUUAAUAUUUUAAUCUAAAAAAAAUUAAAUAAACAAAUUAUAAUUUAGAUUGAAAUCUUUUAAAGAAUUUUUAAACGAAUCAAAACUAAUUAAUGAAUUUAAAAUAAUAAUCUAAAUAUUAAAAUUUUAUUUAAAAAAUUUGGAACUUUUAAAUCUUUAUCUCUAGGUUUUUCAAUUCUUAAGAUAAAAGAGUUUUACUCAAGAGAAAAAAUAAAGAAAAUCUAAUUUAUAGGUAAAAUUUUUAAUAAGGAAAAGAUUUUUUUAUCAUUAUUAAAUUAAUUAUUUUUUAAUUAUGAUUUUAGCCUUGGAUUUGGUGCAUUACAGAAAAUUUUUAAAAGGGUAAGAAAUUUUUAUUCAUUAAAUUUUUUUUAAAAAAACUUCAAACCUUGACUUUACAAAUUUUGGCCCAUAAAUCGAAGAACUUUAUGUGGAAGGUGUAGCUAUCCGAACCCUUCCUCGAGGGAACGUGAAUCAUGUCCUGCACCCACAUGAUUGAUGUGACCGAUGAGUUUGGGGUGCCUUCCUAUCUCUUCUUCCCUCCCAGUGCUGCUUUUCUUGGCUUCCUGUUGCAUCUGGCAGUUCCUCCAUGAUUAUGAGGGCUUGGAUAUUAAUGAGUUCAAGGACUCGGAUGCUGAGUUGGAGGUUCCAAGUUUUGCUAACUCAGUUCCGGGUAAGGCCUUUCCUUCUUUGAUGAUUGACAAGGAAAGUGGAGGGGCCGAGAUGCUUCUUCAUCACACGAGGAGAUUCAGACACGUCAAGGGUAUUCUGGUAAAUACAUUUAUUGAGCUUGAAUCACAUGCUAUUCAAUCACUUUCUGGCAGUACAGUACCCGUAGUGUAUCCGGUUGGACCCAUACUCAACACCCGAAGGGGAUCUGAUGGGGGUCAACAAGAUGCUAGUGCCAUCAUGAGCUGGCUUGAUGAUCAGCCUCCAUCAUCCGUGGUUUUCCUGUGCUUCGGGAGCAUGGGAAGCUUUGGUGCGGAUCAAAUCAAGGAGAUAUCACAUGCGUUAGAGCACAGUCGGCAUCGCUUCUUGUGGUCCCUUCGCCAACCUCCCCCAAAGGGUAAAGUGAUUACAAGCGACUAUGAAAAUAUUGAGCAAGUUCUACCAGAAGGAUUUUUACAUCGGACGGCUAGAAUUGGAAAGGUGAUUGGAUGGGCUCCACAAAUAGCGGUUUUAGCCCACUCAGCUGUUGAAGGAUUUGUAUCUCAUUGUGGAUGGAAUUCUUUACUAGAAAGCAUAUGGUAUCGUGUUCCAGUAGCCACAUGGCCAAUAUAUGCAGAAUAACAAAUCAACGCAUUUCAAAUGGUGAAAGAUUUGGGGUUGACGGUAAAAAUUAAAAUUGAUUACAAUAAGGAUCAUGAUCAUAUUGUAAGUGCUCAUUGUAGGGACCCCUCCCCUUGGGAAACACGUGGCACGCGGCUCAUGGUGACGCGUGGCACGUACUAUCGGCCGGACCAUCAUCAUCCGGAUUCCCCUACAGAUAUGUAUGGUGCGGCUAUCCUAUCCGGAACCCCAAAGGAAAGACAAACAACGUUUCAGCUUCUCCUAUCCAAGGAAGAGCAAACGACGCUGGCAGAGCGUAGACACCCGGAUAGUCUCCACAAACACAUCCGGAUAUUCAGCAUGAUCCAUCCGGAUAUAAAUCGUCUGGAUGAUCAAUUAAAGUAAAGCGAGUCUUACACGCAAUCACAACAAGCAGCCAUGGCCCACAUCCCAUCACCUGCAGAAUGAGAAGACAAGAGGAAGUGACAGCAAGUCACUUCCCACGAUCAUUCUACAUAAUCGCUUCCCACGAUCUCUGACAGCCGCAUCAUCUACCAUGGUCUCUGACAGCCAUUCGUAGGAUGAUAGUGCUCCUACUAACACCUAUUGUCAUCAUCACAACAGAAAAUAUCUCCCCACCAUUAAUGAGAGGAACAGUACCCCUGAAGCUGUAUAUAUAUGACUUCACACGAAGAAGAAAGGGAUGAUCUCCUAGUAACCUCUUGAUACCUAGUAAAAGGCCAACUGCCUCAUAUAUCUUAUUCUCUUACUAUGGCUAACAACAUCAUCGGAGGGUGCAUCCGGACACCCUGUCCGGAUGCCUUUUUGCAGGUACAACCACUGAAUCAAGAACCCCUUGUGUGUUGAGAAUCGCGUGUCCAUCCAUCUAGCAGCAACGCGGCCCACCUGAUACGCGAGGUGACAACACUCAUGAGAUUGAAAAUGGAUUAAGGAACCUAAUGAAUACCAACAGUGAAGUGAGGCUGAGGCAAAAGAAGAAAGAAAUGCAAAAAAUAAGUAGAAGAGUCAUGAUAGAUGGUGGGUCCUCGCACUUUUCUUUAGGCCAUUUUAUUGAAGACAUGGUGGCCAACAUUUCAUACAAGCAACAAAGUCGUGAUACCUAUUGUAUGAAUUAUUUUGUACUAGUAUGAAAGGAAAAGGUGCAUUGUAGGCUCUAAUAAAUUAAUUUAUCAUAUGCUUUAUUUUAAUGCUCAAAUAAUUUCUUUGAUAAAGUCAAGAAAUUUGACCUUUCAAACUAGGAAAUGUGUUAUCUCUUUAUUAUUUAGUAAAACAAGUUUACAAGUGAAUGAAUUUAGUAAUAUGUCGAUCUCAUUGAUCAAUGAAUACACAAUUGAACAUUUUCCGGUACUAGUAAUAAAAUUAACUAUAUAAUUACAAAUCAACAAACCCUAUUGGUUUGAGACAAUCUUCAUAAGUGUUUUUUCUAAAUAUUUUUUAUAUUCUUAUGUGAUUGAAUAUAUUUUGGAUUAUGACUUAUAUAAUUUCUCACAUUCUAAUCAAAAGCAAUAAUUAAAUCUCAAUAAUCAACCUAUAUGAUAACGGAAUCAGUUUAAAUAGGUUUAAAAGUUACUAAUUUAAUAUAUCCUAUUUAUGUACAAAAAAAUUGUGAGUAUUGUCCCGAAAUAUGUUUCUAAUAUCAACAUAACAUUUCUUCCUCAUUUUGUUUGGCUAAUGAAAAGCCAUUAGAAAAAAAAUAUAUAGAUAUUUGAUUAAAAUGAUUAAAAUAGUCUCUAAUUCGAACAAUGCUCUUUUUUUUAAAAAAAAAUAUCGAAAAUGAUAAUAUUUUUUUAAUAAAAAUAUCAUUCAUUUAUGUUAAAGCAAUUUGAAAAAAAGAUAUUUUUAUUCACUUAUAUUUUUUAUUAAUAAAAAUAUCAUUCAUUUAUGUCAAAGCAUUUUAUUUAUUUAUAAGUAUUAAGAUAUUUUUAUUCAUUUAUAAUUUUUAUUUAGAACUUUAAACCAAUAGAAGAUGGCUUUACAAAUUUUGGCCCAAAGAUCCCCAAGAACUUUAUUUGAAAGGUGUAGCAUAUUCGAACCCUUCGUCCAGGGAACAUGAAUCAUAAUUUCGUUGCUGGUUUUAUAUUAAAAUACAUGGGAUACAUCGAGAACCACCCACUUUUGCCUCAAUCUUCAACCAAGACCAACCACAAUCAUACAAAAACGAUAAGGAAAAUAAAUUGAACCAGCAAAGCCCUGACAUCACUUCCUUUGUCCUCCAAUACUAUCCAGCCACAAGUAUAAGAGUGUCACACCACUGCAAAGCCCUCAAAACAUCCCAUUUUUCCUCUCUUUGCAGUAACUGCUAGUUAGUGAUGGAGCAAACUGAGCUGGUCUUCAUCCCAUUUCCUAUCAUCGGCCACCUUACGUCUGCACUGGAGAUUGCAAAGCUGAUUACUCAGCGAGACCCCCGAUUCUCAAUCACGAUCAUCAUCAUGAAGUUUCCGUUUGAGUCCAUUGAUGGUAUGGACACGGACUCUGAUUCCAUACGUUUCGUUACACUUCCUCCUGUAGAGGUCUGCUCCAGUACGACGCCGUCUGGUUUCUUCCUCUCUGAAUUCCUCAAAGCUCACAUCCCAGUCGUCAGAGACGCCAUCCACGAGCUCACUCGCUCCAACUCGGUUCGUCUCGCAGGGUUCGUUAUUGAUAUGUUCUGCACCCACAUGAUCGAUGUGGCCGAUGAGUUUGGGGUGCCUUCCUAUCUCUUCUUCACUUCCAGCGCUGCUUUUCUUGGCUUCCUGUUGCAUCUUCAGUUCCUCCAUGAUUAUGAGGGCUUGGAUUUCAAUAAGUUCAAGGACUCGGAUGCUGAGUUGGAUGUUCCGAGUUUCGCGAACUCAGUUCCGGGUAAGGUCUUCCCUUCUCGGAUGUUUGACAAGGAAGGCGGAGGGGCUGAGACGCUUCUUUAUCACACGAGGAGAUUCAGAGAAGUCAAAGGUAUUCUGGUAAAUACAUUUAUUGAGCUUGAAUUACAUGCUGUUCGAUCACUUUCUGACAGUACAGUACCCGAGGUGUAUCCCGUUGGACCCAUACUCAACACCCGAAUGGGAUCUGGUGGGUGUCAACAAGAUGCUAGUGCCAUCAUGAGCUGGCUUGAUGAUCAGCCUCCAUCGUCAGUUGUUUUCCUGUGCUUCGGGAGCAGGGGAACCUUUGGUGCGGAACAGAUCAAGGAGAUAGCGUAUGGGCUAGAGCACAGUGGGCAUCGCUUCUUGUGGUCCCUUCGCCAACCUCCCCCAAAGGGUAAAAUGGAUUUUCCAAGCGACUAUGAAAGUAUUGAGGAAGUUCUACCAGAAGGAUUUUUACAUCGGACAGCUAGAAUUGGAAAGGUGAUUGGAUGGGCUCCACAAGCAGCGGUUUUAUCCCACUCAGCUGUUGGAGGAUUUGUAUCUCAUUGUGGAUGGAAUUCUUUGCUAGAAAGCGUAUGGUAUGGUGUUCCUGUGGCCACUUGGCCAAUCUAUGCAGAGCAACAAAUCAACGCAUUUCAAAUGGUGAAAGAUUUGGGGUUGGCCACAGAAAUUAAAAUAGAUUACAAUAAGGAUAAUGAUUAUGUUGUAAGUGCUCAUGAGAUUGAAAAUGGAUUGAGGAACCUAAUGAAUAUUGAUAGUGAAGUGAGGCAAAAGAGGAAAGAAAUGCAAAAAAUAAGUAGAAGAGUCAUGAUAGAUGGUGGGUCCUCGCACUUUUCUUUAGGCCAUUUUAUUGAAGACAUGGUGGCUAACAUUCCAUGCAAGCAACAAAGACGUGAUACCUAAUGUAUGAAUUAGUUUAUACUAAUAUGAAAUAAAAAGGUGCAUUGUAGGCUCUAAUAAAUUAAUUUAUCAUCUCCUUUAUUUGAAUGCUCAAAUAUUUCUUUGAUGAUGUCAAGAAAUUUGACCUUUCAAACUAGGAAAUGUGUUCUUUCUUUAUUAUUUAGUGAAACAAGUUUACAAGGGCAUGAAUUUAGUUAUAUGUGGAUCUCAUUGAUCAAUGAAUACACACUUGAGCAUUUUCCUGUAGGAAGCUGGACUAGUGAUAAAAUCAACUACAUAACUAAAAAUCCACAAACCCUAUUGAAUUUGGUUUGAUGGGGAUGAAUAGAUAUAAGAAUUUUUAUAAGAAUUUGUUCAAUUGGAUCACUAUUAAUUUGAUGCUUGCCUUCAGAUUAGAGACAACUAUCCACUUGAGAAAUUUAAUUAAUUUCUGGGCAGUGUUUAUCUUCUUUUCUACAAGCAUGAUGCUCGAAGAGCAAAUUAAUGUUCUCAAACUAUUUGGUGUGUUGGUAUGGAUUUAAGAAACUAACGUCUCAUCAAUGCAUAUCAAGGCAUCUACGCAUGUGAGAGAUCAAUAGAUUCAAAAUGAUUCUAAUUGGAGCAUUUUUUAAUUAAGAGGUAGCUACCUUGAGUCUUGUGAGAAAGAAAAUAAUUAGAUGAAGAAGGUAAUUGGUAUGGAGAUGAGGAUUUAGAAUUAUAAGUUCUUUAGAUUUGAUUAUGGAGAGAGUUGAGAGAAUAUAAUUUUUUUUUUUAUAAGAAAAUUACUAAGAGAUGUGAAAAAAGUCUUUAAAAAAAUGAUAAUAAUAAUUUAAACACAAAAAUGAUUAUGUAUAUAGUAUUGAAUUAUGAAUUUGUCCUUUCCUUUCUUUUAAUGAAAAAUAAAUACAUAUGGAAAUUGAUAAUUGAAGUUGUUAUUCAAUCAUCUAAAGAUUAGCUUAGAUGGAAUAUAUUGUAAUGAUCUACUCCUAAUCGUGUAAAUAUUGUUUACUUUGAAUCCAACCUAUCAUAUCCCAUAAGAUUAGGGUGGUCAAACAAAUUCUCACACUGGGGGGUCAAGGAUCAACUUUAAUACUAUUUGUAAUGGCUCACUCCCAACAGUAUAGAUAUUAUCCUCCCAACUGUAAAUAUUGUUCAUUCUAAACCCAAAAAUCUCUCACAGCUUUAAAACGUGUGUAUAAAAUUAAAAGGAGCUUAUACAUAUAUGAUGUCAGGAUUUUUUUUCCUCAUUUGAUGAAAGAUGCCACAUGUAUUCCCUCAAAAUACUGAUUCCAAUUAGAUGUGAAGAGGAACCAUUUAGUAUUAGAAAGAAAAGAAAUACAUAGAUGGUAAUAUGUAUUAUUUCUAUUCCUUAGUCUUGUUGCAAGGACACUCAUUGCUAUAUAAUAUAUAUAUAUAUAUAUAUAUAUAUAUAUAUAUAUUUAAAGAACUUUGAAAAUUAAUUUUGUUAUAUACAAAAUUAACUUAUAAUUAAAAUAAAAUCAUUUAUAAUACAAAUAUUGGAUUGAUAAAUAAUUAUAUAAGUAAUUAUCUUAAUUUAGCUCAAUUUUAAGUCUUAAAAUACAGAUUCGAAAUAUAUUAAAUAAAAUAAAAUUUCACUUAAAUCUUACAUGGAUAAAUAGAAAUAAUAACUUCUAUACAAAAAAUAAAAAAUUUUAUAGAAAAAAUUGAAAGCUUAUCUUAUUUUCUUUCUACAACUAAAAUUCGAGUGAACAAAAAACUAUUAACUUCAAAUUUUUAAGCUAUUUUAAGAUAAAUCUCUAUUAUUUACCUAAGAACUCAUACUAUCUUUAAUUUUCAAAAAUAAAAAUAUAUCCAAAUGUGCACCUAAAUUUUGUAGAAAAUGAACCUUGAGCAAACUCUCCUAAUCACGUUAUUUUAUCAUUUACCCAAAGAUUUAUGCUUAUCAAAAAUCAAUCAACCACAUUGAGAAUUGAUAAUUUUAGCUAGCUAGUAACAUGUGCAAUCAGAAGAAAGUCAAUGAAGAGUACAUAUAUUCACAUCUCUUCUUUUCUGAAUUCCUCAAAAGACAUCAUCCAUGAGCUCAUUAAUCACACCCAUAAAACAAUGAACAAGAAGAGACCAAGAAAAUAUCAUAUUGUAGGCGCAUCGCCAAAAGGUUUGUUGAAAUAACUUAUACCUUCACCCUCUGAGCUCUAGAAUAGUGUCGAAAAGAACAACCUAAUCUUUCUUUCUUUUUUCUGAACUACUUUUUACCAAGAUCCCAAAGCCUUAGAUGCUAUUUAUAUUUGGACUUGGAGAAUACUUAAAAAUAAAUAGCCCAACUAUGGGCUUAGAGAACUUUUCAAGGGUUGGAUAAACAUAGCUCAACAAAAUUAGCUUAAAAUAACCUUUAAAAUUACCCAUUCAAGACCUAUCAAAUCAAAAGAAAAUUAAAAUAAAAACUUUUGGAAACCUUUUCUAUGCAAAAAUUUCAAAAAAAAAAUAUUAUAUAAAAAAUUGAAAACUUAUCUUAUAUGCUUUCGAUAACUUAAAUUUUGAGAGAACAAAAAACUGUAAAAUUCAAAAUUUUCAUCUAUUUUUCAAAACAUUUGUUUUUAAGAUAAAUCUCUAUUAUUUAUAUAACAACUUAUACUAUCUUUUAUUUUCAAAAAUAAAAAAUUUAUUCAAAGUCCACUUAAAUUUUGUUGAUAAUGAACCUUGAGCAAACUCUCAUGGUCACAUUAUUUAAUCAUUUACCUAAAGAUUUAUGCUUAAAGAAAAUCAAUCAACCACAUUCAGAAUUGAUAAUUCUAAGUAGUUAGUAACACAUGGAGUCACAAUUCCAUACAACAAAUACAUAUAUAUAGAAAAAUUUGAAAUCUUAUCUUAUAUGCUCUUUAUAACUAAAAUUUCGAGUGAACCAAAAAUUUUUAAAUUCAAAAUUUUAAGCUAUUUAAAAGUUGUUUAUGUUUAAGAUAAAUCUCUAUUAUUCAUAUAAGAACUCAUACUAUCUUUUUAUUUUCAAAAAUAAAAAAUGUUUUGAAAGUCCACUUAAAUUUUGUAGAAAAUGAACCUUGAACAAACUCUCUUAAUCAAAUUAUUUUAUCAUUUACCUAAAGAUUUAUACUUAUAAAAAACCAAUUAACCGCAUCGAGAAAUGAUAAUUCUGGAUAGCUAGUAACACAUGGAAUCACAAGAAAGAUGAUGAAGAUUAUGUAUAUUAAUUAUGGUCUCUUCUUUUCUGAAUUCCUCACAACUCACAUCAAUUGGUCUUUGAUGUUGUCCGUGAGCUCACUUGUCACACCCAUAAAACAAUAAAUAGGAAGAGAUCAAGAAGAUCAUACCACAAGGGCUUCCCUAAAAGAUUGAUGAAAGAACUUAUACCUUCACCCUUUGAGCUCCAAAACAAUGCCCAAAAACCAACCUAAUCUUUUUUUUUUCCCUUUUUCUGAACUAUUUCAUCAAGAUUCAAAAGCCCUAGAUGUUAUUUAUAUUUGAACAUAGAGAAUACCUAAAAUAAACAAUCCAACGCAUGGGCGGGAUAAACUUAGCUCAAUAAAUUUAGCUUAAUAUUAACCCUUAAAGUUACCCAUUCAUGGUCUAUUAAUGAAUAUAAAUAAAAUUUUUUGAAAACCUUUUCAAUACAAAAAUAAAAGAUUUGAUAACAAAAAUUGAAAACUCACCUUAUAUGCUUUCUAUAACUGAAAUUUCGAGUGAACAAAAACUAUUAACUUCAACUUUUUCAGCUAUUUUUAAAAUUAUUUAUUUUUAAUAUAAAUCUCUAUUAUUUAUAUAAACACUCGUACUAUCUUUUAUUUUCAAAAAUGAAAAAUAUACUCAAAGUCCAAUUAAAUUUUGUAGAAAAUGAAUCUUGAGCAAACUCUCUCGACCACGUUAUUUUAUUAUUUACCUAAACAUGCUUAUCAAAAAUUAAUCAACCAUGUUGAGAAUUGAUAAUUUUGGGUAGCUAGUAACACAUGGAAUCAUAAGAAAGUUGAUGAAGUUGUUUUCCUCUCUAAAGUCCUAAAAGCUCACAUGCCACUCAUCUCUGAUGUUGUCCAUGAGCUCACUCGUCACACCCAUAAAACAAUAAACAAGAAGAGAUAAGGAAGAUCAUACCGCAAUGACUUUCACAAAAGGUUGAUGAAAUAACUUAUACCUUCACCCUCUGAGCUCUAGAAUAGUGUCAAAAAGAACAACCUAAUCUUUCUUUCCUUUUUCUGAACUACUUUUUGCCAAGAUCCCAAAGCCUUAGAUGCUAUUUAUAUUUGGACUUAGAGAAUACUUAAAAAUAAAUAGCCCAACUAUGGGCUUAGAGAAUUUUUCAAGGGUUGGAUAAACAUAGCUCAACAAAAUUAGCUUAAAAUAACCUUUAAAAUUACCCAUUCAAGAUCUAUCAAAUCAAAAGAAAAAUAAAAUAAAACUUUUGGAAACCUUUUCUAUGCAAAAAAUUCAAAAAAAAAAAUUAUAUAAAAAAUUGAAAACUUAUCUUAUAUGCUUUCUAUAACUGAAAUUUUGAGUGAACAAAAAACUGUAAAAUACAAAAUUUUCAUCUAUUUUUCAUAACAUUUUGUGGACCCCGCAUUUCGAUUGCUCGAUGCGUUUCCCACUGGAUGGCGAGCUCGAUUUUUAUUUUUAUUUGAAAAAUUGAUUUUUAUUGAUUAUUUGAAAAUGACUUGGAGUCGCCACUUAUUUUUGUUUUAUUUUUAAAAGGGUAAACAAAAUAAGAAAGAAAGACCCUAAAUGUGACUCCAUAUUUUGGAAAAGACGGUCUGCGAAAAACCGGAUCGGGUUCGGGGGUCAGGUUACUUGUCGGGAAGGUACGGUAAAGACCGUAGCACCCCUCUAAGCCCCUAAAAUAGGUCUCUACUAAUAAAAUGAAGCAGACAUGACAAUCGAUUAGGCAAAACAGUGAAUACUCGGAACUAUCAUGCACAUAUGAGAAUCAGAAUAUGAAUAGCGAAUGAUCAGAAUGAGUGAAUACGUACCUGGGCAGCAAACAGCAAUGCGCUAUCAUGGAAUGGGGUUAGUGAAUAAACACAGAAUGAUUAUAUACAUAUCAUGGAAUAUAGCAAAACGAUCAUGCGUGGUAAAUAAAUCAAUCAAGCGAUCAAUCAGUCAUGAAUUCACAUAUGUAGGGCCCCCACCAAAGCCCGAUCAAUCUUGCAUGAAUUAAUCUCACAAAUUCCAUUAUUCUGAAAUUAUGAAAGUGACAUUCACGCUUAUAUAAAACCAAGAGGAACAUGAGAUUACUUGAAAACCGGAAUGGAAUUAAAACUGUUCAAGUGAAGACUGGAUUUUUGAAAUUUGUUUGAAAAUUGGAGUAUCGAAAAUUAUUUGGAAAUUGGAGUUUUGGAAAUUAAAUUUAAGAAUUGGAAUUUUAGGGAUUAAAUUCGAAUGAAAACAUAAUUUUGAAAAUUAUUUGGGAAGUAGAAACCAUGAAAGUUAAUUUAUAAAAAAAACAAAUUAUGAAAAUUGGGACUUUGGAAAUUAAAUUUUGAAAGAAAUUAGAAUUAAAAAUUAUUUAAAAUUUUGAAAAUUUGGAAAACUUAUUCAAUAAUAAAGAAACUUAGAAAUUUGAGGAAUUAAUUAAAAAUUGUUUUAAGACAUCCCUAAAGAAAGAAAAAAAAAAAUGGAAUAAAAAAUUUUAUUUGAGAGAUUGAAUCUUAUUGGCGUAAAAGAAAUAUCCAAAUUUUUCAUGCAUCAAGAAAUUAGGUGGGGCCACAUCUCCAAGUUUUUCUACUUAUGGAAAUAUCUCACAAUAUGGCACAUGGCAUGGAAGGAAAACACACGGCCAUGCAAUGAGGGUGGUUGGGCAUAAAGUGGUCAAAAGGUCAUCCAUAUGGGACCCAUGAUCAUGCUUAAAUAUUAAACAUUAUUCCAAAUAAACCAAGGCAGUAUGCCUUUUCAACUGUGUACGCUACCUCCCACUAACUCCCAGAACUUCAAGAAGCUCCUGACUCCUCAGUCAGCCCAUCGCGUCUUAGAAACCCAUGAAAACUACACUGCCCAAUUGUAAAACAGCUAAACAUACUUUCUAGAGCUUCAUCUUCUAUUUGGAUUAAUUUUAAUGGCAUCACUCAGCGAAGGGGACCAUCCUAUGAACCCCGAUACCACUAGCAUACUCUUCUUGGGGCCUCUUAAUUCAGAACCAAAUUCAGAUAUAGAGACCCCCUGCCUGGGCAUGAUAUACUCAUAUGGGAUAAGGUUCAUUCCACCCCUGACAGCUGUCACCACGACACACUUGGCAAUGGUGUGAAAUGCAGCUUUCUCACUAAGAUAAAAUGACCUAUCAAUAAAUACAAUCGGGUCAUAAUCUGGCUGCCCAAAACUUUCAUUAAUUCUCUUACAGCUUUCCUGGAUUUCAGCCUGUACCACCUCGAGAUCUCUCCCAAAAACAUUUCCUCUAGCAGAAAUGAAACAGAAAACCCAUGAGCGCAUCUCCUUCUCUGCUUCUCCUCUGUUUCUCAAGUUCAGCAACCAUAUCUCCCCAUCUGCUUCUCUCUCUCAUUUUCUUACUUAGCUCAUUUCCAUUUCCGUCAAUACUCUAGAUCAAACAGCUCACCAAGCACAACACAAAUAUAGGAAUAACAGCAGAGACAUAGCCAGGGUGAACAACAGGUGUUAAACAAAUAUGGGAAGGUAAAACAUAUGAUGAUACAGAGUUCCACUUCAGGUGACAUCCAUGGGCUCGAAAUAGGUGAGAUUAACGUAUCAAAGAAAACUCAAAAACAGUUCAUGCAUUCAGAGGACUGAGUUCAACCAAAGCAAACAAAAUAUUGUCUAGAACUAGAGCUAAAAAUGUCAAGAGGAUAGGAGAAUAAUGGAAAAUGUAAGACUUAUAGUUCAUACCUGUAAAUGGAUUCCCUACCAGCAAGACUAGUUAGGCUUCUAGCUCUUUUCUAAAGCUCCCUCUCUUCCCUUUGCUGUCCGCCUUGGUUCCUCCUUCUCUCAACUUCUCUCCGUAGCCUAAGCUCCAGGAAUACCCUCCAGAAAAAUCCUCUCUCCGGUGGCUUCCCUAAACUCCAAAACUCCCUCUCUCUAUCCCCCAAAAAUAUCUCUAACGGCCUAGCCUUUUUCCCACCACCCUACAGCUGCCAACCUUCACGGUUUUCAACUUUUUCUGCUGAAAGAAAUCUCCACGUGUCAAGCUUCCAUUGGCCAUCAAAACCACUAACUUGAUACCCUAUCAACCAGUCCUGGAGUGACACGUGGUCAUCCCAGACGAUGACACUUGUCAUAAUCGGGCUGUAGAGAUGUCUCCCCAAAAUGGGGGUCUACACAUUUAUUUUUAAGAUAAAUCUCUAUUAUUUAUAUAACAACUUAUACUAUCUUUUAUUUUCAAAAAUAAAAAAAUUAUUCAAAGUCCACUUAAAUUUUGUUGAUAAUGAACCUUGAGCAAACUCUCAUGGUCACAUUAUUUAAUCAUUUACCUAAAGAUUUAUGCUUAAAGAAAAUCAAUCAACCACAUUCAGAAUUGAUAAUUCUAAGUAGUUAGUAACACAUGGAGUCACAAUUCCAUACAACAAAUACAUAUAUAUAGAAAAUUUUGAAAUCUUAUCUUAUAUGCUCUUUAUAACUAAAAUUUCGAGUGAACCAAAAACUUUUAAAUUCAAAAUUUUAAGCUAUUUAAAAGUUGUUUAUGUUUAAGAUAAAUAUCUAUUAUUCAUAUAAGAACUCAUACUAUCUUUUCAUUUUCAAAAAUAAAAAAUAUUUUGAAAGUCCACUUAAAUUUUGUAGAAAAUGAACCUUGAACAAACUCUCUCAAUCAAAUUAUUUUAUCAUUUACCUAAAGAUUUAUACUUAUAAAAAACCAAUUAACCGCAUCGAGAAAUGAUAAUUCUGGAUAGCUAGUAACACAUGGAAUCACAAGAAAGAUGAUGAAGAUUAUGUAUAUUAAUUAUGGUCUCUUCUUUUCUGAAUUCCUCACAACUCACAUCAAUUGGUCUUUGAUGUUGUCCGUGAGCUCACUUGUCACACCCAUAAAACAAUAAAUAGGAAGAGAUCAAGAAGAUCAUACCACAAGGGCUUCCCUAAAAGAUUGAUGAAAGAACUUAUACCUUCACCCUUUGAGCUCCAAAACAAUGCCCAAAAACCAACCUAAUCUUUUUUUUUUCCCUUUUUCUGAACUAUUUCAUCAAGAUCCAAAAGCCCUAGAUGUUAUUUAUAUUUGAACAUAGAGAAUACCUAAAAUAAACAAUCCAACGCAUGGGUGGGAUAAACUUAGCUCAAUAAAUUUGGCUUAAUAUUAACCCUUAAAGUUACCCAUUCAUGGUCUAUUAAUGAAUAUAAAUAAAAUUUUUUGAAAACCUUUUCGAUACAAAAAAUAAAAGAUUUGAUAACAAAAAUUGAAAACUCACCUUAUAUGCUUUCUAUAACUGAAAUUUCGAGUGAACAAAAAACUAUUAACUUCAACUUUUUCAGCUAUUUUUAAAAUUAUUUAUUUUUAAUAUAAAUCUCUAUUAUUUAUAUAAACACUCGUACUAUCUUUUAUUUUCAAAAAUAAAAAAUAUACUCAAAGUCCAAUUAAAUUUUGUAGAAAAUGAAUCUUGAGCAAACUCUCUCGACCACGUUACUUUAUUAUUUACCUAAACAUGCUUAUCGAAAAUCAAUCAACCAUGUUGAGAAUUGAUAAUUUUGGGUAACUAGUAACACAUGGAAUCACAAGAAAGUUGAUGAAGUUGUUUUCCUCUCUAAAUUCCUAAAAGCUCACAUGCCACUCAUCUCUGAUGUUGUUAGCUCACUCAUCACACCCAUAAAACAAUAAACAAGAAGAGAUAAGGAAGAUCAUACCGCAACGACUUUCACAAAAGGUUGAUGAAAUAACUUAUACCUUCACCCUUUGAGCUCUAGAAUAGUGUCAAAAAAACAACCUAAUCUUUCUUUCCUUUUUCUGAACUACAUUUUACCAAGAUCCAAAAGCCCUAAAUUUUAUUUAUAUUUGGACAAAGAGAAUACCUAAAAUAAAUAGCCUAAUGCAUGGGCUUAGAAAUAAACUAAGCUCAACAAAUUUAGCAUAUAAUAUUAACCUUAAAAUUACCCAUUCAAGGUUUAUUAAAUCAAAAUCAAAAUAAAUUUUCAAAAACCUUUUCUAUACAAAAAAUGAAAAUUUUGAUAGAAAAAUUUCAAAGCCUAUGUUAUAUGCUUUCUAUAACUAAAGUUUCAUGUGAACAAAAAAUUGCUAACUUCAAAAUUUUAAACUAUUUUAAAAAUUAUUUAAUUUUAAAAUAAAUCACUAUUAUUUCUAUAAGAACACAUAUUAUCUUUUAUUUUCAAAAAUGAAAAAUGUAAAGUCCACUUAAAUUUUGUAGAAAAUGAACCUUGAGCAAACUUUCCUAGUGACAUUAUUUUAUCAUUUACUUACAAAUUUAUGUUUACCAAAAAUCAAUCAACGAACUGAGAAUUGAUAAUUCUAGGUAGCUAGCAAAAUAUAGAAUCACAAGACAACUGAUGAAGAGUAUGUAUAUUCUGGUCUCUACCUCUCUGAAUUCCUCAAAGCACACAUAUCACUUCUCAAAGAUGUAAUCCAUGAACACGCUCGUCACACCCAUAAAACAAUCAAUAAGAAGAGAUCAUACUAUAAGGGCUUCCCCAAAAGAUUGGUGAAAGAACUUAUACCUUAACCCAUGUAGCUCUAAAGCAAUGCCUAGAAAACAACCUAAUUUUUCUUUCUUUUUUUUGCACCCAUUUUCACCAAGAUCCCAAAGCCCUAGGUGUUAUUUAUAUUUAGACUUAGAGAAUUCCUAAAAAACAAAUUAAUAGGCAAAUGCAUGGGAGGAGAAAACUUUUCAUGGGCAGGAUAAACUUAGCUCAACAAAUUAAGCUUAAUAUUAAACCUUAAAAUUACCAUUCAACAUGUAUUACAUAAAAAUAAAAUAAAAUUUUUCGAAAACCAUUUGUAUACAAGAAAUAAGAAAAUUUAGAGAAAAGAUUGAAAACUUAUAUUAUAUGCUCUUUAUAACUAAAAUUUCAAGUGAACUAAAAAAUGUCAACUUCAAAUUUUUAAGCUAUUUUUAAAAUUAUUUAUUUUUAAGGUAAAUCUCUAUUAUUUAUAUAAGGACUAAUACUAUCUUUUAUUUUUAAAAAUAAAAUAUGUAUUCAGAGUUCAUUAAAAUUUUGUAGAAAAUGAAUCUUUAGGGAAACUCUCCUAUUCACAUUAUUUUAUCAUUUUCCUAAAGAUUUAAGCUUAUUGAAAAUCAAUUAACCACAUUGAGAAUUAAUAAUUCUGGGUAGCUAGUAACACAUGGAAUCACAAGAAAGCUAAUGGAGACUAUGUAUAUUCUGGUAUCUUACUUUUUGAAUUCCUCAAAUCUUGCACACUAAUCAUCAAAGAUGAUGUCCAUGAGUUCACUCGUCAUGCCCCAUGAAACAAUGAACAAGAAGAGAUUAGGUAGAUCAUACCGUAGGGGCUUCUCCUAAAUGUUGAUGAAAGAACUCAUACCUUCACCCUUUGUGCUAUGGAACAAUGCCAAGAAAACAAUGUAAUUUUUCUUUUCUUUUUCUGAAACACUUUUAACAAAGAUCCAAAAGCCCUAGAUGCUAUUUAUAUUUGGACAUAGAGAAUAACUAAAAGAAAUAGUCCAAUGCAUAGGCUUAGAAAACUUAAAUAGUUAUCAAAGAGUUGUUAACACAUUAUCUAUAAUACAAAUGUCAACCAGAACACUUAAAUAGUUACUCAAAAUAUAACAUGUCAAUAUUUGAGUAUUCAUGAAGAGUUUUUCAUACUAAUAAAUCUAAAAUUCAUGUCUUUAUUCAUUUUGAAAAUUGGGAUAUGGUGAUUCAAAUUGAGCAUUUGAAAAACCAAAGUUCCCCAAAUCAACCACUUCUAGAGUCAUGUCACCACCAUCCUCGUCAUCUACAAAAAUAUUAAAUAUAUAUUAAUAAGAGAUCAUUUUUAAAGAAAAAAAUAGUAAUUAUUGAACUUUUAUAAGUUUACAUAUUCUACUAAUCAAUGAGAGCUUGCAGCUGAACUUGAACCUUCUACUUCAUUUAUUGGAAUUAAUCCUUCUUCAUAUAGAAGAUUUUCUAAUUCUUCCACAUCUAGCUCUCUUGGCUCAUCCUCAUCAACUAAACAAAAAUCAGUUUCAUCAAUGCAUGCAUAAUCAAUGGGAUCAUAGGUCAUUUUCUUGUUGUACAACCUAAAAAAGAAAAACAUAUAAUUAUUCAUAAUUGUCAAUGAAAAAUUUUAAAUUCAAAACAACUAAGAAAGUAUUUAUAUUGAAUUUUUAGCCACAAAUUGUAAUGAACGUAUACAAGAUCAUUAAGUCUUUCAUUUUUCAAUCUAUUCCUUUUUUUUGGUAUAUGUGUAUAUGUUCAAACACACUUUUCAUAACUUUUUGAUUAAUAACAUCUAUGACAUCUCCAAUAACUUCUUGCUUAUUACAAUUUUUUUUUUUUUUUUUAAUAUUGGAAACAUGGAUUCAACCAAUAAGCUACUGAAUGAAUGCUUUUCUUUGGUUGUUCAUCCUAACGUUCCUUUAUGAUUUGUGUAUAAGGCUUGUAUAGUCUUUUAUUGUGUUUAAAUAAUUUCUUGAUACCCAAACGAGCAUUAUACAUGCCUUUAUACACAUAUCCCAUCGAAGGCCUCUCAUCACAAUCAACAAUAUGUAAUAAGAGCACAAGUGGAGCAAUGAGAUUCAUAACCAUCAAACAAUCAUUUCAGAAUAUAUUAUCCAAGAUGAUAGAAACUACAACUCUGCUUUUAUUAUCCAUUAAAUACUUAGAGUCCACAAAAAACUUGCUAGUCACCAAAGCUUGCAAGUCAUGUUUAUGAUCAUGAAGACUCUUUAGUGCAAUGAAUGUAGUAGCAAAGUGAGUUGCACUAGGUCGAAGAAUCUCUAUCCAUCCUUCUCUUUUUCUCAACCAACUUAACAAAGCAACAUGAUUACACACAAAAAUUGUCACCUUUGAUGCAUGUCUUACAAGUUCAGCAACAUAGUCCAUCUUACUAAUAUCCUUAAAGAUCAAAUUAAGACAAUAAGUUGUACAAGGUGACCAAUUGAUUUGUUUAUACUUCUAAGAAAUCAAUCUCCUUAAGACCACAUAAUUUGUUGCAUUAUCAAUCACUACAUGAACUACAUUGAGUGAACCAACCCAUUCAAUCCCUCAUCAAAUAGCAUAAACAAAGUAGUUGCAUCAUUCACAAUAUUCGAAGCAUCAAUAGAUUUACAAAUUAUUUUCUCUUCUUAAAAACAUAAAAAAAGAAAAAAAAAUCUGACACUAUAUUUUAAGAGAACAUCUUUUGGUUAUUUUUAAUUGUUUUCACUUGUUUUUUGAAAUCUAUUUUAAAAAAUAAUUAUACAAAUAUGGGGAAUCAUUAAAAAUAAAAUAUUAUAGAUAAAAAAUUAUUUUAAAAUAUAGAAAAUAUGUUAAAACAUUUCAGAUUUUCAAAUAAACUUUGUUCUAUAAAACAUUAAAGAAUAAUUUUAAAAAAAAAUUGUUUUUCAGAUUUAGUUUUUUAAAAAAAAUACUUUUCAAACAAAACCUUAACAAUUUUGUUUAUCAAAUUCUAAUCCCAACUCUAAUCAUAAUCAUAAUUACUUUCCUUGUCUUUCCUUUCCUUUCUUUUCCUUCCCUUCUAUUCCCUUAUUAUAUAUAAGUAUUUAAAUUAAGACAUUAAAUCAGUUUAUCAAACCCAUCUUAAUCAAUCAGUUAAUCAUAAGCAUCAUGUCAAAGACUUUUAAACCACUAGGUGGAUCCACUCAUCCAUCAUUCACGAUGGAUUAAUCCAUGGAAAGAUAACAACAUCUUCUUAGACUUGUACAUGUGGAUAGCUAUUAGAAAAAAAAAAACAAAAUUUAAUGCACAAAAAUUGGGAUAAAGAAAUAAAAGAAACUCAUCAACAAAACCUAUCUUUUUCUAUUUUAUUUUAUUUUACUUCUAACACUUAAGUAAGGUCUUUAGGUCAAUGAAUAUGCAAAAUUUGAAAUGAUUUGCCUAAAGUUCAUAUGUUAAAACUCGGGUUUUAAUGGAAAUUUAACUUUGAUGCAUAAACCAAGUUUUUAAAGAUGCAUGAAAAGAUAUGAAAAUCCUAAGUGCACCCAUGCAUUCAUCUUACAUGUAUUUCCUAUGAUUAAAGGGUCUUCCAUUUGUGUUGAUCUUGCAUCCAUUGGGUCCUAUAAUGAAUUUCUUGAAUAUCCUUUUGAAUUUUAACUAAAACUUGAAAUUCUUUUUUAAUUCAAAACAAUUAGCAACUUAACCAUGAUUUGUUAUCAUCAAAACACAAUUAGGAGAACCAUUGGGCUAACAGCUUAAACACUUAUUUUGGUAACUUUCUUAAUUAUAAAUUAUAUAUCUUAAUUUCCAAAAUUAACUUAUUUUCUUUAAUUUCAAAAUCUUAUUCAAAAUAAGAAAAAUAUUAUUUUAUAAAGAUUUGGAAAAUAAAAGCUUUUCCUUAAAAGAAAGAUUUUAUUCUUAGAGAUCUCAAAGAUUUGAGAAGAUUUUAAAUAAAAUUAAAAUCUCUAAAAAUUAAUUUUAAAAGGGAAAUAAAGUUCUUGAUCCUUUUCGAAUUUAUUUUUUCUUAAAAUAAAAUUUCUAACCAUGCACAUUCCAAUUUAAAUAAGUUUUCUAAUUUUGAAAAAUUCAUAAAAAUUUAUUUCUAAUUAAUAAUACCAUUAUUAUUUAGGGUCACAUAUGUAAUUAAUAAAGAUAACAUAUAAUAAAAACAAGGGAAUAAUUAAAUAGAAAUAUUUCUCAUGGCCUUUAUGGAUUUUAUUGCAUAUUUGGUAAUUAAAAUUAGGACAAAAUCCAAAUUACUAAAAUAGCCUUAUAGCCAAAGAUUAAGUUUAGUAAAAAUUGAAAAACCCCAAAACACCCAAUUACCACAAAAUAAUGAGCCUAAGAAAAUGGCCAAACAACCAAAAACAAUUUGGCCUGAACUUAAUCCUAAAACAACUUGAUUUUUGCAUAGCCUUGCUUCAAUCGACUAUAUCUCUUGUUUCAAUUCCAAAUUGCAAAUCGUUUAAAGUGUUGGAUUCCCAACUUCUUAAGCUUGAAAACAAUAUAUGGCUUGCCCUAAGAAACUCAUGGGACUUAGCCCCAAUUUUGAGUCGAAGUCAACAUCAUUGUGUUAUCAUGCUCUUUGUGCAGCCUUGCUUCAAUUAGUCAUAUCUCCCUUGUUUCAACUUUGAAUUGUGAUCCAUUUAAAGCAUUGAAUUCCUGAAUUCCUAAGCUUCAAAAACCUCAUGAGAAAUAGUCUCAAGUUUGAGUUAAAGUUGAUGCCACCAUGUUGCCAAGAAUAUUUAUUAUUAUUUUUUUCUUAAAUCACAAUAGGAUUACAAAAAGAAACUUCAAGAUUCUUUCUUUUCUCUUGGGUCACCACAGAUGAAUGUAAAAAACUAAAAUUUUUAUAAUAAUAAAAAUUAUUAUGCUCCUUUAAUAGAGCUUACAACUCAUCUAUUGAGGAAAAAAAAAAACCUCUUACAAUCAAAUAAAAAUCUUUUACCCUUUAUGGAUUGUACAACCCAAUCUAGAGAAAACAAAGAAUCCAAUCAUAAUUAUAACCAUCAUGUUAUAUUGAAAACCCACAUAUAAUUGUCCUCGAGGCCAUGGAAUAAACCAAAAUACCCUAUAAAAUAGAGUUAGCAUGCCCUAGAGAUGAUCUAACACACAAAAACCUACCUUAGGGCUCUGAUACCAGUUGUUGGGAACCCUAAAUUUCUUCAUUCCCUAUCUUUAAAUCUCGUAGGGUGAAUACAUCUAUCCCUAACGAUCUUUAGAUUUAACACAUUGGAAAAAAAUGGCUUCAAAAACUAUUUUAGAAUAAAGAUAUAGAGAUUUGAAACUCAUACUUGGAUCUAGAUGUUCUCAUAUCAAUUCCUAGUUGUGAAGAACAUGCUUGAAGGUCUCAUACACCCAAGAUAUUCCGACCGAUGACUUAAACCACAAUCUUGACACUCUAAAUUCCCUAGCUUCAAAAUCAUAUGCGGCUUACCCUAAUAAACUCAUGGGAGAUAGUCCCGAUUUUAAGUUAAAGUUGAUGUCGUUGUGUUCCCAUGGAUCUCAAAACAAGAACUUCCAAGAAUAUUUCUUUUUUCUUAAAUCACCAUAGGAUUACAAAAAAAGAAACUUCAAGAUUCUUUCUUUUCUCUUGGGUCACCAUAAAUGGAUAUAAAAAGAUGAAAUUUUUACAAUAAUAAAAAUUCUUAUGCUCCUAUAAUGGAGCUUAUAACUCAUCUAUUGAAAAGAAAAUAUUAUUACAAUGAAAUAAAAAUCCUUUACCCCUUAUGGGGUGUACAACCUAAUCUAGAGAAAACAAAGAAUCUAAUCAUAAUUAUAACCAUCAUGUUACAUUGAAAGCCUACAGACAUUCAUCCCUAAGGCCAUGGGAUAAAUUAGAAUACCCUACAAAAUAGAGUUAGCACACCCUGGGAACAUAUCUGACAUGAAAAAACCCAUCUUAGGGCUCUAAUACCAGUUGUUGGGAACCUUGAAUUUCUCAAUUCCUUAUCCUUGAAUUUCGUAGAGUGCAUGCAUCUAUUCCUAACAAUCUUUAGAUCUAACAUAACGAAAAAAUGGCUUCAAAAACCAUUUUAGAAUAAAGAUCUAGAGAUUUGAAACUCAUACCUAGAUCUGGAUGUUCUCAAAGCAAUUCCUAGCGGUGAAGAACAUGCCUAUAAGUCUCAUACACCCAAGAUAUUCUAGUCAAUGACUUAAACCAUGAUCUUGACACUCCAAAGUGUGGGUUUUGGAAGGAAGGAAUCUUAGGCUCUCUCUCUUUCUCUCUCUAGAGGUGGAAGACGACUUUUACACUAAAAAGUGAUGGGAAUCCUAAUCCCUAAGAGGUAUUUAUAAGGUUCCCCUAUUAGGCUUAACUGACUUAAGCCACCAAGGCUUAGGUCACUUGAUCUAACUCAAAAUGGGUUUUAAUUGAUUAAUUAGCCACACAAGGUCAUCUAAUUAAUUGAUUAGCCCAAUUCAAAGAACUUGUUUAUUAUCCCCUGUGGAACCUUACAUAAUUACCAAAAUGCCAUUAUGCAUAAAAAUGAACUGAGAACCAAUCCAACCAUUAUAAACCAUGUCAUCAUGGUAUAUGAGCUCAGAAUAGGAACUAUUGGGACCCAUAGGAGUAUUAGCUCCUUCAUAAUCCAAUUUUGAAGUUGAUUCAACAUUCCACUAAAGAGAAUCAACUGCACUCUAGCACCCUUACGUAAAUAACAACGAGACAAAGCUUGGGUAUGUGACUUAUUGUCCAUUGUAUGUAGACUCCCUAUAAACUAGUGUUUGUAACCUAAUAAGGUAAUGCUAUCACCUACCAAGAUCACCUAUCAAAUUCUUGAGUUACAGAUCUUACUUAUUUUGUGAUCAACUAGCAUACUCUAACUCUAAGAAGCAUAUGUUAAAUUCCACUAAAGGAAGUAUUACAAUCAUAGAUUUCGUGAUCACAUUUCCUUUGGAUCACCCAAUGGGACACAUUGUCUCAAUCCUAUGAGAUAUCAUGGUGCCUCUAUUGAGAAUACCUGUUACCACCAGCCUUCAUCAACAAUGAUCAAUAAGAAUAUAUGACCAUUUUAGUAUCUCACUUAUAGGUCAAAGCCUCAUGUUGAUUUCAACACAAGCUCAAUAACAAUUGAUAGUCUUACGUCAUGAUUCAAUGUAGGUUCUGUCUAGUGUGCAUCAUAUACACUAGUGUGCUCACUAUUGGAAACUCAUCCCGACAGCUAAGACAAGUCUCAUUCCAAUUAGGAGGUAGUGUACUAACCUUUAUUGGACUGCCCAAAUCCAUGAACUGAAUAUAAACAAAUUAUCUACUUACAAGAAACUAAUGACUUAUAUCCUUUAUGCAACUCCUAAUGCACCUAAGUCGUGUAUAAUGUAAGAGAUAUGGACUGAAUGCUCAAAUUAAUUUCAAUGCAUAAAAGGGAUAGUAAGAAGAUAGUCAAGUUUGACUUCAUACAUCAUGUCUUUCUUUUAGGGGCUUAAUCCCAAUAGUGUUCUACCUCCUAAUUAGAUGGAUAACUUGUCUUGGUCAUCGCGAUAAUUUUCCCAUUGUGAGUGUACUAGUGUAUGUGAUGCACACUGAAUAGAACUUAUGGUGAAUCAUGAUGUAAGGGUAUCAAUUGCCAUAAUUCACUAAGCUACUAUAUUGUAUGGACUUUCAACCUUGAGAGGAUAUUAAGUUUGUACCAAAGUCAAUAAGAGACUUUGACCUAUAAGUGAGAUCCUAGGGUGCAUGGUCACAUAUCCUUGUGGAUUGGGUCAUUGUUGAUGAAAGUUGGUGACAACAGGAAUUCUUAAUAGAGACACCAUGAUAUCUUAUAAGAUUGAGACAAUGAGUCCUCUUGGGUAAUCUAAAGGACAUGUGAUUUAGAAGACUAUGACCAUAACUUUUCCUUUAAUGGAAAUUUAACAUAUACUCAUUAAAGCUAGAGUUUGUCAAUUGAUCACAUAAUAUGUGGGAUAUGUAACUCAAGGUUGGAGAGGUAAUCUUGAAAGGUGAUAACUCUACCUAGUUAAAUUACAAACACUAGUUCAUGGGGAGUUUACAUGCAAUGAAUGGUAGGUCAGGACCCUAACUUUGUCUCAUUGUUAUUUAUAUAGGAUAUUGGAGUAUAGUUGAGUCUUUAUAAUGGGAUGUUGAAUCAACUCUAGAAUUGGAUUCUUAGGGGGUUAGUACUCCUAUGGGUCCCAUUAGUCCCCGCUCUAAACUCAUAUACCAUGAUGACAUGGUUUAUAAAGGGUUGGAUUGGGUUUAGGUUCACUCUUGUGCAUAAGGGUGUUUUGGUAAUUAUGCAAGGUGCACAAGGAUAGUGAACAAGGUUUCUAGAUUGAGCUAAUUAAUUAAUUAGAUUGUCUUGCAAGGUUAAUUAAUCAAUUCAGGCCUAAUUUGGGUAAGAUUAAGUGGUUGAUGCCUAUGUGGGCUCAUGUCACUUAAACUUAGUGGGAGAAUCCUAUAAAUACCCCCUUUAAGGGUUAGAGUUUCUUAAUCACUUUUAACGUCAUAUUUCAUUUUAUAGAGUGAGAGUCAAACCUUCCUCUUUUCCAUUGCCCACCUUUUGGAGUGUCAAGAUUAUGGUUAGAGUCAUUGAACAAAAGAUCUUGGGCGUACAAGACCUCUAGAUUCUUCAAACUUCUUCACCACAUGGAAUGGAUUUAGGAAUAUCCAAAUCAGAGGUAAAGUGUUUUGUAGCCUUUAAUUUAGAUCCUUGAAUGUUAAAAAUGCUAUUUUUGCUUUCAUUGUAUAGGAUCUAGAGGUCUAGGGUAGAUUGCAUGUAGGUACGAUCCAAGGCACGAAAAUAGAGAAAUCCAGGGUUCCCAUCACUUCCAUUAUCCUUGCACAUAUAGCUUCCUUGCAAAAUUCCUCUAAAAGCUUGUCAUUUCGCUUUAUUUUGUUGCAUUUCUUCUCAAAUACGUGCACUAGCUCUCAAAAGGACUUAAGUUUGUAUUCAAGGUAAAAUACACUUUAAGUGUUGUUUGUUUGUUUUUAACUUAUUGUUGAAAGUAAUUUGCUUUUAGAAUUCAAUUGAUCUCUUUUUACUUUUUAUUUGACUUAUUAUUUAUUCUUAAAUGUUUUUCACUAAAUAGAAAAAAAUAUAUCAAAAUAUGACUUUUUUUAAAACAAGAAGUGAUUUAUUCGUCCCUCAUCCUCAACCUAGUAAAACACAAUAUCAACAUUCAUCCCUUAUCUCAUCUCAUCCUAGCCACUCAGUUUUAUACUUUGUCCCAUUCAACACCAUGCCCCUACUACCAUUAUCGUCACAAUUGCCUAUCAGCAUCCCACUUGCCACCACUCUCAUUAAAGUCACACAACAAUAUUUUAACCAUAUUUAAUUUUAAAAUAUUUUAUUUUGAUUAUAUAAAAUAAAAAUAAAAAUAAAAAUUAUUUUUUCAAGGAUAAUAAUGAUAAAUUAUUUAUUAUAAUAAUUGGUUUUAUUUUAAGAUUUGUAGAAAUAUGUUAAACUUUUUGGUCAAUAAGAAUUAGUAUAAAAAUUAUUUUUCUUACUGCAUUUAGAUGUUGAUUUUUAGCACAUGAAAAGCAAACAACUUAAUACUUAAUAAAAAAUAAAAUAUUAAAAACAACAACAACAACUUAACACUUAACACUCUUAACCAUUAUUUAUUCUUAAGUUAAAUUUGUUAUCUGUCCAACAUCACCCAUUAUUAUACACCCAAUUUUUACCCAAAUUUUACAAUAAGAAUUUACAAGUAACUGAACUUCCUUCUUGGCAUCCUUUAAAUUAUUAAACCAUAGUUGACGGUAAGUUGAACCCUUAUAUCCAAGACAAAUUACGAAUAUAGCAUCCAACAUUGGCGUGAAGUAGAAGGAAUUCACAACAUUAAUAGGAAUGCAUGCAUCAUAAAAGAAUCUCUCAACAACCAUAUCUACUCUCCAAAUAGCUUAUUUCCUAGCUAAUACACUCCUAAUGGAAGGUUGAGCUCCUUAAGUAGUUCUUGGUGCAAAAUACUUAUCCAUUGUUGAUUUUCUUCUUUUUCCACUACUAGUUGCCAUAGGAUUUUACAUAUCUUGAACCUCUUCUCCACAUUUUGGCAUAUCCCCUUCAAAUUGUGACACCUUAAGACCAUAAUUCAUAUGUUUCUUGGAUUUCACAAACUCCUACAAAGAAUUUUCCAUUUGAAAUCUACAUUAGGAGGAAUUGAUUUACAUGGACCAAUAUCUUGUUUCACUCCAACAAGGUGUUGUUUCAGUUUUAUGAAUUCCCCUACCUUUUGCAACUUUUUUACAAUAUAAACAAACAAGAACUUUCCUUCCAUUUGUAUUUUUUUCUUUAGAAACAUGCUCCUAUGUAGGGUUGGUGUUGUCUCUACUUGUUUGUGAAUUUGUAUUUGAAUCUUGACCAGAGGAUGGGGUCAAGUUUGAUUCCAUUUUGAUUUUUCUAUAAAAUUGUAAACAAAAACAACAAUUUUAAUCACCAUUCAAUGCAUUCAUCAAUAAAAAAUAUGACUUCAAUCAAGUCAUCCACAAUUUAAAAAAAUAAAAGAAUUAAAGAAUUUAUUAUAUAAAAUUCUUUCAAAAUCAGAAAUUUACUUUCAAAUAGAAAAUUUAUUUAAAAUUUUAAAACAAGAUUUUUAUUUAAAAAUUAGAAAAUUUAAAUUUAUUUAAAAUUAUCUAAAAAAUGCAACAUAAUGUUUGAUUCAUUGAUUAUUUCCAAAAAAUUAUUUUAAUUUCUAAUGUUUUUAAUUAUUUUAAUAAUUUAUUUAAACUCAAAUAAGAUAUUUUAAAAAUCAAUAUAAAAUUUAAAAAAAUAAAAUGAAAAUAAAGUAAAGAAAUAAAUAAAUCUAAACAAAUGAUUCAAUUAUUCAAAUGAAAUUUCAAUGAAUAUUGAUAUUGUAAUUUAAUAAAUCAAUAUGCAAUAAAAUUAUAAAAUAUUAAAUAUUAAAAAAAUUAAAUAAAUUGCAAGAUUCCAAAGUUUAAACUCAUAAUGGGAGAUUUGGAAUCCAGUGCGGUCAUCAGCAUGUGGAGGCGAUGGCUUCUCCAAUGUGGUGCGCAACUAUUGGAGACGUGCGUGCUAGUAAGGAGGGAAGGUAAAAAAAUGGCUUAUAUACAGAGCAAAACGACGUUGUUUCGAUGCCAAAUGCAUCAAAACAACGCUAUUUUGAUGGCAAAAAAAUAAAAAAGGUAUGAACCAUUUAGUUUGGGGGAAACCAGCUGAUUCACCAAUAAGACUGCUAAUUUCGAUGGUUGGAGGAUAGUCCAACCCUUCGACGGUUUAAAUCACCAAAGCAAACCGAAAAAUUGACUGAUCGAAAGUCAAACCGAUUGGAUCGACCGAUCUGGUCUGAUUUUUAAAAUCAUGUUCAUACCUUUAAAAUUUGUUUAGAAAAUUAAGAGAAACUCAUACAUAUAUAGUGUUUGAAACAUUUUUCCCAAUUCGAUGUGGAAUAAAUAUCACAUAUAUUCCCUCAAAAUGUUGAUUCCAAGUAGAUGGGCAAAUGAACAAUUUAGUAUUAAAAAGAAAAAAAAAAUACAUGGAUGGUAAUGUGUAUUAAUUCAUUUUUGACUCUCGUUAUAACACCCCACAUUUAUUGUUAGGGCAGUACUGUAAAUUAGAAUAAAAUAUAAAUAAAUAAAUUUAAUAAGGGUAUAAAGACCUUUUUUGCAUUAAAAGUCCUAGUUAUAAAUUAGAUUUUCUUUGUCUUCUUCAUUCAGAAAACCCUAUUAUACAUGGAUGGAAAUUCAAAAAUCAACAAAUCUCAACUUUUAAACCAACAUAUCAACAAUAGAAUUUUUUUGUCCAAGCAAUUUCAAACUUAAAACAAUAGCUAACAGUAAUCAAAUUCUAACAUUUAACAAAGUCCCAAAAAGAGAGUUUAAACAAAUGUCCUAAUAAAGCCAAAUUUAUCAUCCUAACUGUCACUCCUCGCCUGAAUUGAGGAUACUUGAAAUAUUAUCAAUAAAUGGGAAUGAGCUCAAAACUCAAUAAGGAACAUUAAUGUACAAUUUCAUGGAUCAAAUAGUUUCAAUCAUGCUUACAAAUGGGAGAUAUAAGGUUAAGUUCAAAUAUUCUAAUACAUUUUAAUCUGUUCAACCAAACAUUUUCAUAUAUAUCAAAACCAUUUCACAUCAAAUCCAAAUCAAACACAUUUAAAAUAUUUUCACUCUGAUUAUCAUAUAACAAAUGGUGCAUAAUUGGGUGGGAUUUUACAAAUGAGUGACUAGUUUCAAAUUUGUUCUAUUUAAGGUGAACAAAACAAAUGUCAACAAUUACAACCCAUUGCCUAGGGUCAUAUAAUAUCAAUUAUUAUAACCCAUUGACUAGGGUCGAAAAUGUCAACAAUUAUAACUCGUUGACUAGAGUUAUAAAAACUAGAGUCAAACACUUCAUUUCAUUAAUUCAAACUUACAAAACAAAAUAUCAUAUUUCUACAAUUUUUAUCUUUCAUAAACAAAGAAAAUGCUUAAACAUAUUUUUCAUACAAAACAUAUAUUUGAUCCAUGUAUAAAAAUAAAAAUAAAAAUUUUCAUAAAUCAAAAUAAAAUUUAAAAAGAAAUACUUUCUUUUACAAAAUCUAUAUUAAUUUCCCUUACCUCAUAGAAGCACUAAAAAACCUUGAAGUAUUUAAUCCUAAAGAGUUUUGCCCCAAAGAACCUAUUUCAAACUUAACAAAAAAAGACAUAACUAUUACUAUUAACUAUUUAUCUAAAUGAAGGGCUUGAGAAUCCUAAUAAUUUUAGGGAGCUCUCUACUACAAAAAUAGUUUAUGGUGUCACUAUUUACGGUGUCACUUUUAAAAUAAUGACACCAUAAGGUUUAUAAUUAAUAAAGGUGACACAUCAUAUAAAAAAUCUUCAAUUGAGGUAGUUAGAUGAUAUUAAUUUUAUAUUUAUAGUGUCAUUUUUUGGGAAGUGACAUUAUAUAAAAUAAAUUUUUUUAAGUACUAUAACUUAAUGAGCCCACUUUUAGAAUUAAUAAUGAUGGAUACUAUAUAAAAAUCCCAUUGUUUCCAUAUCUCACCCACAAUCCAAAAAAUCUCAAUAUAUAAAUCCUAUAUAUAAAAUCAUGAUCUUCUUCAACCUUUUCUCUCAUCCAUCCAUAGUCAACACGCUCAAAACCGACAUUCUUCACUUUAUGGACUCCCAGGUAACCCAAAAUCUCUUGGAUCUAUCAUUUUUUUUUCUUUUAUUAAUGCCAUUAUAUUAAUUGUUUCAACAUCUUUGUACUAUGGUUUUUGUGAAUUGUGUUUUCUUGAGUUGUAGGGAAGAAAAAUUUAGGUUUAAUCUUCUAGCAUGGAAGAAAAAACUAUAGAUUAAUUGAUUUUUUUAAUCUAAACCAAACACAUGAUCAAGUCCUUAAAAAAAAGUGAAAAAUAGGAAAAAAUGAAUGAUUUUUAAUAUGUAUUUGUGUGAGAAUGACAGGUACAAAUUUUUUUUAAGAUAUACUAUCACAUAAUCUUCAUCCUUUCUAAAAAACGAGAGAGGAAAAAAAAAAAGAAUGAUUUUUCUGUUUGUAUCUAAGUGGGAAUGAGAUAUAGAAUUUCGUUGAGAGUAUCCAACCCCAAAAGGACCAAUCCGGGAAGGCAUGUGUGGUAUUGACGGGAGAUGAUAAGAUGGAAAUCAUAACCAUAGCCAUGUUCUCUCUGUGUCUUUCUAUCCUCUUCAAUUAAUUUAUGGGCAUAGAUAUUUUAUUUAGUUUUUAUAUUUAGUUUAUUUAUAGUUUAUUUAGUUUCUAAAAUCCAAUUAGUUAGAUAUUUUAUUUGAUCUUGUUUUUAUAUUUAAGUAUUUGAGUUUUGGAAAGUUUUUAUAUUUUGUUAAUAGAAAUAGAAAUUUUUAUAUUUUUUAUUAUUAGGAAUUUCUAUUUUGUUAAAUUGUAAGUAUCUAUCUCAAUAAGAGAUUAUUAAUAUUCAAAUGAAAGUGAUGAAAGAGAGUAAAUAUUUUAAUGCUCAAUUAUAUUUUAAUGUUAUUUUUUUUUUUACAUAAGGGUUUAUUUAUGUUUUCAAUUUUGAAGUUCUCUUUCCAAGUCCAGCAACAAAAGUAGUGUCCAACCUUAAAAUGGGCAUGUGUGGUAUUGACGGGAGAUGAUAAGAUGGAAAUCAUAACCAUAGCCAUGUUCUCUUUGUGUCUUUCUAUCAUCUUCAAUUAAUUCAUGGGCAUAGAUAUUUUAUUUAGUUUUUAUAUUUAGUUUAUUUAGUUUCUAAAAUCCAAUUAGCUAGAUAUUUUAUUUGAUUUUAUUUUUAUAUUUAAGUAGUUGAGUUUUGGAAAUUUUUUAUAUUUUGUUAAUAGAAAUAGAAAUUUUAUAUUUUUUAUUAUUAGGAAUUUCUAUUUUGUUAAAUUGUAAGUAUCUAUCUCAAUAAGAGAUUAUUAAUAUUCAAAUGAAAGUGAUGAAAGAGAGUAAAUAUUUUAAUGUUAUUUUUUUUACAUAAGGGUUUAUUUAUGUUUUCAAUUUUGAAGUUCCCUUUCCAAGUCCAACAACAAAAGUAGUGUCCAACCUUAAAAUGGGCAUGUGUGGUAUUGACAGGAAAUGAUAAGAUGAAAAUCAUAACCAUAGUCAUGUUCUCUCUGUGUCUUUCUAUCCUCUUCAAUUAAUUCAUGGGCACAGAUAUUUUAUUUAGUUUUUAUAUUUAGUUUAUUUAGUUUCUAAAAUCCAAUUAGCUAGAUAUUUUAUUUGAUUUUGUUUUUAUAUUUAAGUAGUUAAGUUUUGGAAAGUUUUUAUAUUUUGUUAAUAAAAAUAGAUAUGAGGACUUAAAGGGUUUAUAUUUAGGUAGUGCUUGAGCCAAGGAAAAUGAUAGUCCACUGUCUUGACCCUAUGCAUCACAAACCAUGUGAGGACUUAAAGGAUAUCGUAAACAUGUAAGUUCUUCCUAUUAUUUUUCAUAGUAUUAUUUUUAAAUAAAAAAAAAUACAUUCACCUCAAACACAUUUUUUUUAUUAUUUAUAUAUAUUAAAACAUAUAACAUUUACCUAUUUUAAAAAUGUACCCAUUGAACUUAUUUACAUAGGGCUCUUCGAAUAUCUGCAAAGAAAACAUCUAAGAGGGAGCCAUCUUAGCAACUAGUGCAGGUGACAUCCAAAAAUUUUUCUUUACACAUUAGCUUAUGCAUUUGCACCAUUUAUAUAUGUGAGUACUAAUGUUAUUUUAUAAUUGAUCGAUUAGUGUCCAAGACAAGAAGGAGGGUUCGAAUGUGGCUACUUUGUUAUGAGAUUCAUUAAAGAGAUAAUUUUUUAUCCUACAAUUAUUGCUUCAAAGGUAUUACUUAUUUAAUGAAUUGUACAUAGUUUUAGGCUUCCAAAUGUUAUGCAUUUUAAUGUUAUUUUCUUAUUUGCUUUAAGUUUGGUAAUAAAAAAACAUAUUCUCAAGUAGAAUUUGAUGAAAUUAGAGGAGAAUGGGCUACUUUUGUGCUACAACUAAUCAUGAAUCAUGUUGAUGCAUCAUGAUCACCAUGCAUGGUGAGUCCCUUAGCUACUACAUGAAUUUUUCCAUAGGUAUUGUAUAGUAAUGUUUAUUCUUUGAAUAAUGUUUCUAUUUGAAAAAAAAAAAAAUUAAUUCUUAGAUUUGUUCAUUUAUGAUAACAUAGAUCCAUGUUUAUUUUCUUCAAUAAAAAUCUCUAAAACUCAUUAAAUUUUGAAAUGCAGGUAUACACUCUUGGGAGGGUGAAAUGGAGAAUAAAAAGAAAGAAGAAGGCAACAAGAUUUUGGGUUUUUAAAUGCAACUCUUAUGUCAUACGUUGUAGGACAUAAAUGUUACUUUAAUUGCAACUGAGAAAUUUAGAUUUUUAUAUGGGACUUCUAUGUCAUUUUAUGGUUAGUCGGUUUUAUGCUUAUGAAAUGGAGGUAUACAUGAAUCUUGGGAUCUUUAACAUUUCUAAAUCAUGUUUUGGUAUGUAUUCACUCUUCUUUUUUAGUUUUGAUGGGUUUGAUAUGUUGGACGUACUAUCCUUUUGUGAACAUUUGAUAUACAAAUAUUAUUAGAUGAUCAAUGUAUUAUGAGUUAUUCCAGAAACAUUACAGAAAAAUGAGUUAAAUAUAAUAUGAUUGUUAUAUUUAUGGACAAAAUAUAAACAGGUUAAUCUUAUUAAUUCAUAAGCAUUACAAAAAUCAACAACUAAAACCAAUCAUAUAUUCCACAAUAAUUUACAAUGAUGUGAUACCAUAACUGAAAGGUGAUGCAUUUAAUGUGACAUCAUAACUCAAAGAUGAUGUAUUUAAUGUGACACUCUAUCAUCACUAGAAAUAUAUGGUGUCACUUCUGAAUGGGUCACCAUUUAUCUACUUUGGUGUCACUUCCAAAUACGUCACCAAUUGGUACCCUCUAUGGUGUCAAUGGAGAAGGUGACGCUAUGUUGUAGUGACAUCUUAUGUUUAUGGUGACUCGUUAUAAAUGUCACCAUAUACCUUUUUCCUUGUAGUAGAAUUAUCUUUUGGGGGUAGAUGGACUCCCAAAUUAACAAAAGGUCAUAUAACUCUUCAAAUUGAGUUAAAGGAUAUGAAAUAGUAACAGAUAAAUAUACUCUUUAAGAACACAUAUAAAAUAUUUUAUAAAAUUAAGUUAAAUAAUUUUUUUUCAAUAAUUUUUUUUUCAAAAAUACUAAAUUAAAUAAAAGUAGUUUUCAAAAAUAUUAAAUUAAAUAAUUUUUUUCAAAAAUAUUAAAUUAAUUUUUUUUUCAAAAAUAUUAAAUUAAAUUAAAGUAUUUAAAAAAAAUAUUAAAUUAAAUAUUUUUUAAAAUAUUAAAUUAAAUAAAAGUAUUUUAAAAAAUAUUAAAUUACAUAAAAGUAUUUUUAAAAAAUAUUAAAUUAAAUAAAAAAAUAUUAAAUUAAAUAAAAGAAUUUUUCAAAAAUAUUAAUUUUUUUCUCAAAAUCAACAAAGGGCAUUUUUGGAAAUACUGAAGGAUGAUAUCCUUCAACUCAAUUUUCAUACUUUCAUUGGGUCUUGGGCUCAAUUUGGAGAGUUACAUGGACCUUUUGCUAAUUUGGGGGCCCAUCUACCCCCAAAACAUAAUUCUCCCAUAAUUUUAUAUGUUAUGUCAUCUAUAUUAUUUUUAACUUCUUAAUCAAUAACAAUUUAAUACAUAAGUUUCUAAAUUCUUAUAGAAGUUUGAAUCUUUCCAAAAUUUAUUCCUAAGAUUCUAUUAAUUUAUUAUUAUUUUUUAAAAAUUAAAUUUCUCAAAAAUAUAUUUUUUCUAUUUAUUACAUUAAACUAUUAUUAUUACUAAUAUUUCAUUUAUUAGCUUAAAAUUAAAUAUUUUUAUUUUUAUUAAUUUUCAGAUUCAUUACAUAACCAAGGCAUUACCCUCUGUAUUCAGUGCACACACAACCCAAAAUAAAAACAAGGUUUCUUCCUACUGUCAUCAUUAUCAUUUAUUAUUAUAAUACUUUUUAUUUUCAACAUCUAACUUCCUUUCCAGUGCACACGCUUUUUCUUUCUAUCUUGUUUUUUUUUUCUUCUCAAGCCUACACUACUCUGCCACUCCACGUCCCCUCAUGUCUUCUAUUUGUUUAUUUAUUAUUAUUAUUAUAAUCCAUUUGUUUUCUUUUUCAAAAACAAUCUCGUGGUCAAGAUUCAUUUUUCUUUCUUAUAUUUUUUUCCUCAAUCUAAAGCCCCCAUAACUGAACUAUUUUAUUUAUUUCGUUUAAACCUAUAAUUUAUUUUCUUCUAUUUGUAUUUAUUUAUUUUAUCUAUUCAAUUGAAUAUUCAAAAUUUUCCUAUCUCCAUUAAUAAAUUAAUUUGUAUUGAUAAAUUUUUAAUAUUUUAAUCUAAAAAAAAUUAAAUAAACAAAUUAUAAUUUAGAUUAAAAUCUUUAAAAAUAAUUUUAAACGAAUCAAAACUAAUUAAGAAAAUUAAAAUAAUAAUUUCAAAGUUAAAAUUUUAUUUAUAAAAUUUGAAUUUUAAACCCUAGACUUUUAAAUCAUUAUCUUUACGUUUUUCAAUUCUUUAGCUAAAAGAGUUUUACUCAAAAGAAAAAAUAAAAAAAUUCUAAUUUAUUGGUAAAGAUAUUUAAUAGGGAAAGACUUUUUUAUUAUUGUUUAAUUUAUUUUAAUUAUGAUUUUAGCCUUGGAUUUGGUGCAUUACAGAAAUUUUUUAAAAAGUAAGAUAUUUUUAUUCAUUUAAAAUUUUUAUUUAAAACUUCAAACCUUGACUUGACAAAUUUUGGCCCAUAAAUCGAAGAACUUUAUGUGAAAGGUGUAGCUAUCCGAACCCUUCCUCCUCGAGGGAACGUGAAUCAUAAUUUUGUUGCUGGUUUUACAUUAAAAUGUGAUAAAUCUAGGAGUCAAUCUUCAACCAAGACCAACCACCAAUCAUACAAAAACGAUAAAGAAAAUAGAGUGAACCAGCAAAGCCCUGUCGUCAGUUCCUUUGCCCUGCAAUACUAUCCAGCCACUAGUGUCACUCCACCACGCAAAGCCCUCGAAACAUCCCUUUCGUUCUCUCUUUGCAGUAACUGCUAGUUAGUGAUGGAGCAAACUGAGCUGGUCUUCAUCCCAUUUCCUACCAUCGGCCACCUUUCGUCUGCACUGGAGAUUGCAAAGCUGCUUACUCAGCGAAACCCCCGAUUCUCAGUCACGAUCUUCAUCAUAAAGUUUCCGUUUGAGACCAUUGAUGGUAUGGACACGGACUCUGAUUCCGUACGGUUCGUCACACUUCCUCGUGUAGAGGUCAGCUCCGGAGCGACCCCGUCUGGUCUCUUCCUCUCUGAAUUCCUCAAAGCUCACAUACCACUCGUCAGAGACGCUGUCCACGAGCUCACUCGCUCCAACCCGGUUCGGCUCGCUGGGUUCGUUGUUGAUAUGUUCUGCACCCACAUGAUUGAUGUGGCCGAUGAGUUUGGGGUGCCUUCCUAUCUCUUCUUCCCUCCCAGCGCUGCUUUUCUUGGCUUCCUGUUGCAUCUGCAGUUCCUCCAUGAUUAUGAGGGCUUGGAUAUUAAUGAGUUCAAGGACUCGGAUGCUGAGUUGGAGGUUCCAAGUUUUGCUAACUCAGUUCCGGGUAAGGCCUUUCCUUCUUUGAUGAUUGACAAGGAAAGUAGAGGGGCCGAGAUGCUUCUUCAUCACACGAGGAGAUUCAGACACGUCAAGGGUAUUCUGAUAAAUACAUUUAUUGAGCUUGAAUCACAUGCUAUUCAAUCACUUUCUGGCAGUACAGUACCCGUAGUGUAUCCGGUUGGACCCAUACUCAACACCAGAAGGGGAUCUGAUGGGGGUCAACAAGAUGCUAGUGCCAUCAUGAGCUGGCUUGAUGAUCAGCCUCCAUCAUCCGUGGUUUUCCUGUGCUUCGGGAGCAUGGGAAGCUUUGGUGCGGAUCAAAAUCAAGGAGAUAUCACAUGCGUUAGAGCACAGUGGGCAUCGCUUCUUGUGGUCCCUUCACCAACCUCCCCCAAAGGGUAAAGUGAUUACAAGCGACUAUGAAAAUAUUGAGGAAGUUCUACCAGAAGGAUUUUUACAUCGGACGGCUAGAAUUGGAGGGGCUCCACAAAUAGCGGUUUUAGCCCACUCAGCUGUUGGAGGAUUUGUAUCUCAUUGUGGAUGGAAUUCUUUGCUAGAAAGCAUAUUGUACGGUGUUCCAGUAGCCACAUGGCCAAUAUAUGCAGAACAACAAAUCAACGCAUUUCAAAUGGUGAAAGAUUUGGGGUUGGCGGUAGAAAUUAAAAUUGAUUACAAUAAGGAUCGUGAUCAUAUUGUAAGUGCUCAUGAGAUUGAAAAUGGAUUAAGGAACCUAAUGAAUACUAAUUUUAUUAAAGACAUGGUGGCCAACAUUCCAUGCAAGCAACAAAGACGUGACACCUAAUGUAUGAAUUAUUUUAUAAAAGGUGCAUUGCAGGCUCUAAUAAAUUAAUUUAUCAUAUGCUUUAUUUUAAUGUUCAAAUAAUUUCUUUAAUAAAGUCAAGAAAUUUGACCUUUCAAACUAGGAAAUGUGCUAUCUCUUUAUUAUUUAGUAAAACAAGUUUACAAGGGAAUGAAUUUAGUCAUAUGUCGAUCUCAUUGAUCAAUGAAUACACAAUUGAGCAUUUUCCGGUACUAGUAAUAAAAUUAACUAUAUAAUUAAAAAUCAACAAACCCUAUUGGUUUGAGACAAUCUUCAUAAGUGUUUUUUCUAAAUAUUUUUUAUAUUCUUAUGUGAUUGAAUAUAUUUUGGAUUAUGACUUAUAUGAUUUCUCACAUUUCUAAUCAAAAGCAAUAAUUAAAUCCCAAUAAUCAACCUAUAUGAUAACGGAAUCAGUUUAAAAGUUACUAAUUUAAUAUAUCCUAUUUAUGUACAAAAAAUUGUGAGUAUUGUCCCGAAAUAUGUUUCUAAUAUCAACAUAACAUUUCUUCCUCAUUUUGUUUGGCUAAUGAAAAACCAUUAGAAAAAAAAUAUAUAGAUAUUUGAUUAAAAUGAUUAAAAUAGUCUCUAAUUCGAACAAUGCUCUUUUUUAAAAAAAAAAACAAUAUCGAAAAUGAUAAUAUUUUUUUAAUAAAAAUAUCAUUCAUUUAUGUUAAAGCAAUUUGAAAAAAAGAUAUUUUUAUUCAUUUAUAUUUUUUAUUAAUAAAAAUAUCAUUCAUUUAUGUCAAAGCAUUUUUUUUAUUUAUAAGUAUUAAUAUAUUUUUAUUCAUUUAUAAUUUUUAUUUAGAACUUUAAACCAAUAGAAGAUGGCUUUACAAAUUUUGGCCCAAAGAUCCCCAAGAACUUUAUUUGAAAGGUGUAGCAUAUUCGAACCCUUCGUCCAGGGAACAUGAAUCAUAAUUUCGUUGCUGGUUUUAUAUUAAAAUACAUGGGAUACAUCGAGAAACCCACUUUUGCCUCAAUUUUCAACCAAGACCAACCACAAUCAUAGAAAAACGAUAAGGAAAAUAAAUUGAACCAGCAAAGCCCUGACAUCACUUCCUUUGUCCUCCAAUACUAUCCAGCCACAAGUAUAAGAGUGUCACACCACUGCAAAGCCCUCAAAACAUCCCAUUUUUCCUCUCUUUGCAGUAACUGCUAGUUAGUGAUGGAGCAAACUGAGCUGGUCUUCAUCCCAUUUCCUAUCAUCGGCCACCUUACGUCUGCACUGGAGAUUGCAAAGCUGAUUACUCAGCGAGACCCCCGAUUCUCAAUCACGAUCAUCAUCAUGAAGUUUCCGUUUGAGUCCAUUGAUGGUAUGGACACGGACUCUGAUUCCAUACGUUUCGUUACACUUCCUCCUGUAGAGGUCGGCUCCAGUACCACGCCGUCUGGUUUCUUCCUCUCUGAACUCCUCAAAGCUCACAUCCCAGUCGUCAGAGACGCCAUCCACGAGCUCACUCGCUCCAACUCGGUUCGUCUCGCAGGGUUCGUUAUUGAUAUGUUCUGCACCCACAUGAUUGAUGUGGCCAAUGAGUUUGGGGUGCCUUCCUAUCUCUUCUUCACUUCCAGCGCUGCUUUUCUUGGCUUCCUGUUGCAUCUUCAGUUCCUCCAUGAUUAUGAGGGCUUGGAUUUCAAUGAGUUCAAGGACUCGGAUGCUGAGUUGGAUGUUCCGAGUUUCGCGAUCUCAGUUCCGGGUAAGGUCUUCCCUUCUCGGAUGUUUGACAAGGAAAGCGGAGGGGCUGAGAUGCUUCUUUAUUACACGAGGAGAUUCAGAGAAGUCAAGGGUAUUCUGGUAAAUACAUUUAUUGAGCUUGAAUCACAUGCUGUUCGAUCACUUUCUGGCAGUACAGUACCCAAGGUGUAUCCCGUUGGACCCAUACUCAACACCCGAAUGGGAUCUGGUGGGUGUCAACAAGAUGCUAGUGCCAUUAUGAGCUGGCUUGAUGAUCAGCCUCCAUCGUCAGUUGUUUUCCUGUGCUUCGGGAGCAGGGGAAGCUUUGGUGCGGAUCAGAUCAAGGAGAUAGCAUAUGGGCUAGAGCACAGUGGGCAUCGCUUCUUGUGGUCCCUUCGCCAACCUCCCCCAAAGGGUAAAAUGGAUUUUCCAAUCGACUAUGAAAGUAUUGAGGAAGUUCUACCAGAAGGAUUUUUACAUCGGACAGCUAGAAUUGGAAAGGUGAUUGGAUGGGCUCCACAAGUAGCGGUUUUAUCCCACUCAGCUGUUGGAGGAUUUGUAUCUCAUUGUGGAUGGAAUUCUUUGCUAGAAAGCGUAUGGUAUGGUGUUCCAAUAGCCACUUGGCCAAUAUAUGCAGAACAACAAAUCAACGCAUUUCAAAUGGUGAAAGAUUUGGGGUUGGCGAUAGAAAUUAAAAUAGAUUACAAUGAGGAUAGUGAUUAUGUUGUAAGUGCUCAUGAGAUUGAAAAUGGAUUAAGGAACCUAAUGAAUAUUAAUAGUGAAGUGAGGCAGAAGAAGAAAGAAAUGCAAAAAAUAAGUAGAAGAGUCAUGAUAGAUGGUGGCUCUUCACACUUUUCUUUAGGCCAUUUUAUUGAAGACGUGGUGGCCAACAUUCCAUG
rnacentral:lncRNA from 1 species